rnacentral:lncRNA from 1 species
GUAAGUGAGAUUUUUUGCAUCUAUGUUAAUUUACCAGGUGAGAUACCACACGAAAUCGCUAAUCUUCGAAAUCUAGAGGCUUUAGUGCUUGGAAUGAACAACCUAGUUGGUAUGGUAUCAGCUACAAUCUUCAACAUGUCAACAGUGAAGGUGAUUAUCCUCAUAAAUAACUCUCUCUCUGGAAGUCUUCCAUCAAGAAUGGACCUUUCACUUCCAACUAUUGAGCAUCUUAACUUGGCACUUAAUAGAUUUUCUGGAACCAUUCCUAGUUCUAUCACCAAUGCUUCUAAGCUCACCUUUCUAGAGUUGGGAGGAAACACAUUUUCGGGCUUUAUUCCAAACACAUUUGGUAAUUUAAGAAACCUUGAGCUGCUCGACUUGGCUAAUAACUACUUGACAUCUUCAACCUCAAAAUUGAGCUUCCUUUCCUCUUUGGCAAAUUGCAAGAAAUUAAGAACCUUAAGAUUAAGUGGCAAUCCACUUGACGGCGUCCUUCCAAGUUCAAUAGGAAAUCUUUCUAAGUCUUUGGAAACACUUGUCAUCGUCAAUUGCAGUAUUAGUGGCAACAUUCCUCGAGCAAUUGGCAAUUUAAGCAACUUGUUGGCCUUAGUAUUAGAAGCCAAUAAAUUGACUGGACCAAUUCCAAUUACAUUCGGCCGACUACAGAAACUCCAAGGCUUAGAUCUUGCAUUCAAUAAGUUGGUAGGUUCAUUCCCAGAUGAGCUUUGCCAUCUAGCUAGGCUGGCUGAAUUGGUCUUAUUUGGCAAUAAGCUUUCAGGAUCUAUACCUUCAUGCCUAAGUAAUCUCACUUCUCUAAGAUCUCUCUACUUAGGGUCCAAUAGGUUUACUUCUGUUAUUCCCUCAACUUUCUGGAGCCUAAAAGACAUCUUGUUCUUUGACUUUUCAUCAAAUUUCUUGGUUGGUCCUCUUUCUUUAGACAUAGGAAAUUUGAAGGUGCUUGUAAGAAUAAAUUUAUCAAAAAAUAACUUAUCCGGUGAUAUCCCAGCCACAAUUGGAGGACUGAAAGAUCUUCAAUUUAUGGACGUAGCAUAUAAUAGAUUGGAAGGCCCAAUUCCUGAAUCAUUUGGUGACUUGACAAGUUUGGAGGUUUUGAAUUUGUCAAAAAAUAAAAUCUCUGGGUCUAUUCCAACAUCCAUGGAGAAACUCUUUUACCUCCGAGAGUUAAAUCUCUCUUUCAAUGAACUAGAAGGUGAGAUUCCCAGUGGAGGAAUUUUUGCCAACUUCACAGCUGAGUCAUUUAUGGGAAAUGAGUUAUUGUGUGGUUUACCAAGUCUUCAAGUCCAACCAUGCAAAGUUAGCAAGCCGAGGACAGAACAUAAAUCAAGGAAAAAGAUACUUCUCAUUGUGAUUGUUUUGCCAUUGAGUAUUGCUCUAACAAUAGCAAUCACACUAGCUCUCAAAUCUAAGCUGAUCGAAUGUGGAAAAAGAAGCACAGUGUUGUCAAAUGAUAGUGUCUUGUCAUCACAAGCAACACUAAGAAGAUUUUCAUACUUAGAACUUUUACAAGCAACAGAUAAUUUUGCUGAAAACAACGUAAUUGGCAUUGGAGGUUUUGGUUCUGUUUAUAGAGCAAGACUUGAAGAUGGGAUGAAGAUUGCAAUAAAAGUGUUUCACCAGCAAUGUGCAAGCGCAUUGAAGAGUUUUGAGGCUGAAUGUGAAGUGUUAAAAAAUAUUCGCCAUCGAAAUCUUCUCAAAGUUAUCAGCAGUUAUUCAAACAAUGACUUCAAAGCAUUAGUCCUAGAAUACAUGUCCAACGGGAGCUUGGGGGAUUGGCUGCAUUCUAGCAAUUAUAUGCUGAAUAUAUUUCAAAGGUUGAACAUAAUGAUUGACGUUGCAUCAGCUUUAGAAUAUCUCCACUUCGAUCAUUCAACUCCUAUCAUUCACUGUGACUUAAAGCCUAGUAAUGUAUUGUUGGACGAAAAUAUGGUUGCUCAUUUGAGUGAUUUUGGCAUAGCAAAGCUUUUAAGUGGAGAGGAUGAGUAUUUGAUGCGAACAAAAACCCUUGCCACUAUAGGUUAUAUGGCACCAGGUUUGCUUCAAACAAUUGUUUUUUUUUAAGUUCAUUUUAAAUUUUCCAAAUCAUUGAUUUUUACGAUCCUCACAUCAAAAUUUUCUUGAUUAUUUAUCUAAUUGUGAAAUUAAUUUUAUUCAUAGAGUACGGCAUAGAAGGAGAAGUAUCUACAAAAAGUGAUGUUUACAGCUAUGGGAUUAUGUUGAUGGAAACUUUUACUAAGAAAAACCCCACAGAUGAAAUUUUUGUUGGAGAAUUGAGCUUAAAGCGUUGGGUUAAUGACUUGCUUCCUACUUCAUUAGUGGAAGUUGUGGACAAAACUCUGCUAAGUGGAGAGGAAAAACAUUCUGCAGUAAAGGAGCAAUGUCUGUUGUCUAUCUUUAGUUUGGCUCUGGAGUGUACAAUGGAAUCACCGGAAAAGAGGAUUAAUGCAAAAGAUGUUGUUACCAGAUUACUCAAGAUAAGAGACACAUUGAGUAAAAGGAUAGGAAACUGAAGUUAAUUUCGUUUGCUUUCAUUGAUAGUUAAUUCAAAUUCAUGUAAUAAGUGUAAGAAUCUUAUAUCCUUUCCUUUGAUUUUUUUUUUUUUUUGAGAAAACUGUUGUAGUCAUCUUGUUUCACUGCCCCCAAUGCUUUGGACACCUACUGGUAGGUUUGUACGUGUCCUCAACUUUUUUUAGGAGCACAAAAUUCGAGUCCCAUGGAGACUCAAACAUUCCUUUCCCACAUCCCGAGCACGCUAAGUUCGAGUGAAAGAGAUUAAUUUACGGAAACUAAAGCCAAGAGAAUAAAGGACAACACUUAUGUGAAGCGACAUAAAUGUAUUGAUAGCACAAUGUCAAAUUCAUACAGAGAUCUAGUAUACUAUUUACAGCCGGUAAGGGCUAAGAAUUGAUGUAGCUAGAAUACAAAGACGAUAAGGUAUGUUGUGCACUAUUGUUUUAUUCUACGAUCAAUCUUGACCCUUGAUGCUUGGCUCUCAAUCUUGUCCAUUGAUCUUCUUUGAUUUUGUACACUUCAAGACCUUUCAGUAUCAUUCCUUGUUGUUGGUGUCUUCCGUGCUGUAGAAUUCAUAUACAAGCCUUCCCGCCGACUUGCGAAGUAUUCGUUCAUUGAUGCAUUUUUAUCAAACAGUUGGCCGACUUGCCAAGUAUCAUGCCUUGUUAUAGGUAGGCUUGGUAGGAUUAUGGGUCGGUCGGUAGAUGUACAUGUGUUAAAGCUUUUGAAUUUAUGCCAAUUGAAAAUAAAAAAGAAUCUACAUAAAUUUUCAACGAGGCUAUUACCACAAUAAGCAUUUGGAUGAAUUAUUAUUGAAUCCUUUCUGAGAAGUAGGACAUGUCAGACAUCAAAGCACUGAGAUAUCUUCAAAUAGUGGUAACCCCCACGCAACAAGGCACAAUAAAUUAUACAGAUAAAAUCCUUCACUCUUUCGUAAUCAUCAGUGUAGGCACGGUGAUGCGUCAGACAGAUAUGGGUCGGAUCCACUCCAGCUCCAUAUCAAGAUUCAUAAACCAUGACAAAAAUAGAGAAUCAUAGGUGUUGCAGAUAGUGAUGGUUGUUGAUGCACUCGUGAUUUAAAAUUUUAUUUUAUAUCUUCAAGUUCGCAUUUUAAGUGUCCUUUUUUUUAAUUUUUUAUUGUGAUCAUUAUAACUUGUCAAAUCUAUUUUUAAAUAAUUUUUUAAAAAUAUUUUAUUAACAAUGAUAUGAAAAUAUUCGAACACCUUUUCAUAGUAAAGUGAAUUAUUAUCCGACGAUCCAACUCAUGUUUUCAAAUUGUAAAUUGCAAAUCGUGUGUUUGCUCCAUUACAGAGUUUCAUCAAUUUGAAAUAGAGAAUCAUUUGUGUUCUAGAUUAAUCGAGGGUCUAUAUCCAAAUCUAAAAAUUGACUAACUUGGUUUCUAUUAAAUUCUUAAUCCUAACAAGAAAAAUAGAAGAUUAAAAAUGACUAAUUUGGUUUCUAUUAAUUUGAGUAACGAUCGAAUUACCUAAUUUAUUAAGAUUUAUCAAAAUCCUAUGUCAAAAUCCAUUAAUGAUAUAGGUUCAAUGACGAAAUAGUCACUUGUUAUUAUUUUUGACUUCAUAAAUAGAUGAACGGAUGUUAUUUUUGGAUUCUGGAGAAUCGAAAAUAUCAGGAUAGGUGAUAAAUGGAAUUAAGUUGUAGAUAAGAUAGAAAUGGAUUUGGAGAGAGAUUGGAAUCCUGGGUAAUCCGGAGUACGUUGUUGUGUUGAAUGCUCGUUGACUUCACGUUGACUGAAACAUUAUUGGAAGAAGUGAGCAAGCUUAUUUUCUUCUCUCAUUUUUUAAAUUUGUCUUAAGUUUAUUGAUGUGAGGCCUUUGAGAUUGUAAGUUUCAAAUCUGAGAAGAAUAACCACACACCCAUUAUCCUAUUACUCUUAUUUUAUCACAUGAAGAGAAUUCGAAGUUUGAUAAAUUUGUGAGGAUUGUGAGGGUUGAUGCAAUAUAAUUUAGAUGCAAAGUGUUUACAAGUACGAUGCUUCAUAAGUGUUCUUGAAUCAUUAUAAACUCACGUUAUUUUUAUAAUGAUUGUUUCAUCUGCACAUGGAUAUAAUCAUAUGUUGAGAUUUUUUCCUAAAUUAUGGUCUUAUUUGGUAUUGAGGUGUUAGAUCUUUUAAGUUACAAUUACUAUUGGAAAAAAAAGUGCAACUAUGAAAUAAAAGUUAAUAUUGUGUACUAAAUAUAAUUGUUAAAUAAUAAUUUUGACAAAAUUAGUGAAGAUAUAUAGGUUUUUUUUUAAUCAUCUAAGUGUAAAAUCAAAUCAACUUAACUUCUAAACUAUAUAGCAGCUACUGUUUACCAAAUACUUUAGUACUGUAACUUUUAAGUUAUAGCUGCCUAACCUCAGUCUCAAACAAUGGCUAUAAAGAUCAAAGAUUUCCUCAUAAAAAUUAUACGUCUUGUGAUUGCUUAUUUAAUUUAUAUUUUUUUAUUUAUCUUUAUUAAUUACAGUCAUCUUUUAAUAAAUUACAAUUGCAGGAAGUUGAUGUUCGAAGUGCUUAUGUCGACUCAAAGUUGUUGGGAAUUAAUGCAUGUAUUGAUUUAUUGGGAGUGUUUAAAUGAUUUUGUGAUUUACUUGAUUGAUUGAUUGAAUAAUGUUUGAUUGCUUCAUAUCCGUUCUAGAAAGUUUAUUUCUUUGUGAAAUUUCAAUGAAAUAUGUUUUUUUAAAUUAUAAGGGUUUUUUAAGUAAUUUUAAAAAUAAAUGAACUAAUAAGGAUUAAUUAUUAGGUAAUUAACUUGAACUAUACAGGGUAAGCGAACAUGUAUCCUAAUUAUAUCAUGAUAAAUCCUUUUCCGAUCAGAAUUAGGAAACCAUAAGUAUAUUGAUUUUUUUUUCCAAUUCUCCUUUGCGAAAACGGAUUACAGAAUUAGAAAACAAUCCUAAUGAUAUUAUUGUUAGGUUUAAAACACUGCAUAGAUAGUAAAAAGCUAACUAGUUCGUAGAGUAAUUUGUUAAUUGCUAUCGCCUCUGCCUGCGCGGUGAAUAAUUUGUUGCAUGCAAAUUUUUUAUUUUAUGCAAAUCGUACUGAACAUUGGAAUUGAUGUAUAAGCAAAAAUACAAGAGUAUUUAUGUCAAUACAAAUUUUUUUUUUCCAUUUUAAAUAAACACAACGCGAUGUUUAUCUGCUCCGCGUUUUUGCAAUCUGUUUAUUCGUUGUUUAUUUGCUUCUUAAGGCCUCAAACUUUGAUAACCAAAAAUUUCACCAAACUAUGAAAAAUAUUCUGCAGGUUAGUUUUUAUUUUCGGAAUAAUUAUUUGAGAAUACUAAAACACAAUAUAAAAUAAGAAAAUAGGGGGUUAAAAUUUGAAAAAAAAACAAAAGGGCAUGUUGGAUAGAUUACUGUAGUUUAAGAAAAAAAUUAUUCAGUUGGGAAUUUUUUUUCUUUAAUUUUUGUUUUACUUAAUUGAGAUUUCUCCUUAAUCCUUACAGUUUUAAAUUUGGAUAACAUAGGAUUAGUAAUUUAGUACUUCCUUUGCAAGCCGAGGUUAAUGAUGAAAUUCUUUUAAGAAAAAAGAUAAAAGAGCAUACCAAUAGUCAAUUAUAAAUAACCACAAAUAAAUACAAACAAAAUGUUUAUGAAGUAAAUUAAAAAUGUGCAUAUUAUUUUUUUUUUAUUUCUUACUAAUCUUUGUAUUUGCUGCUUGAAAAACCAUAAAUACACAGAUGACCAUUGGCUUCGCACCAUUUAAUUGGGAUACAUUUCUACGUACAAACUGAACAAGGCUAUUGAUUUUUAUUAUUAUUUUUAUUUAUUUAUAAAUUACUAUUUCAAUUUUCACUUUUUAUUGGGUUGUUUAAUGGAUUAGUGAGGCUGGUGGUCGUUGAUGCACUCACAAGGUACAAUUUUGUUUUCCAAUUUCAAAUUCGUAUUUUAAAAUGCAGCACAUUAUGUAUACAUAAUUAUUGAUUUUCAUAUGUGGGUGUUUUGAAAUAUUGCUAAAAGACCAAACUUUAAUAAACUAUUUUUGAUCCUUUUUUGUUUCUUUUUUCCUAAAGUUUGAGUGAUAUCCGCAUUUUUAAAAGCUAAUGUAUGCAAAAAAUUCUUUUAUUUUUCUGGGGAAAAUAGGCAAGAGAAAACGUUUUGGCAAAUGAGUUGCAACUGAAUUCAAAACCAAUACGAUGCGAGCAUAGGAAAGAGGUCAGUGUUUUGGAUUUGAAUUUAGUAUUGAGCUGAAUUUUAUGUUUAACACAUGAUUCUAUUAUAGUACUGCGAUUAAUAAGCUCAGCCCCGGAUUUGCUUUUGCUUUUGCUUUUACUUCAAGUGAAAGAAAGAGGAAACCUUUUGUUUUUUCUUUGGUUUUUGACUAUGUUACCUAUACAGAGAGUCAAGAUAUCAGCCAUAAGUGAUGGUGUUAAAAAGAUUAAGCAGCGCACACAAUCUUACUGCUGUCUAGACCAUCCAAUGAUGACUCCAGUCUUUUGGUUACAUUAGCUUUAGUUGAAAUAAGGGCCAAUUUAGCAAACACUAGCUUUGGCGGCUUACUAUGUUUAAUGUAAUGCUUAUUCUCAAGGAAUCUAAUGUUAUAAGAUGAUUGAAUGAUCUUCUAUGAUUGUGAGUAGUAUAGGAUAAUUGAAAAGAGCCUGGCUCCUAUGAUAAAUAACAGUAACACAGUACUGUGAUUGAAAAAGUUCAGUUACAAAAACUUAGUUACAGUAAACUCUUCAUUUAUUCAUUGCGGAGAUUGAAUGGCAAAAAGAGAAUAGAAUGAAGCAGAGGAAUCUCAUUGCCAAUAAAAUUGACCCUCUUUAAUGUUAUAUGGCACAGGUAUGUUUACAUCAAGAACAAGUUACUUACAGUUUUUAUUGUAGUUAAGUUUUGAUGAUUUCAGAUGCUUUUUUUUUUUAAUUGUGACACCUUUGAUUUAUAAUAAUAUUGCAAAUAUAUAUAUAUAUAUAUAUUAGUAGUUUUUUGGUCCGAAAUUUUAAAGUGUGAGAAAGUAUGAGAAAGCUUUAAAACCGCACGGUGUUAAAGGCUUACAGUUUUAAGCAUUUUAAUCCAUGCGGUUUUAAAGUUUUACUGGAUUUUUCCGCACUUUAAAAUUCCAGACUGAAACAUUUCUGUAUAUAUAUACAUAUAAAUAUAUAAAUUAAGAGGGAUGAGUUAACUGAAGAUUAUAAUCAUUACAACAAUGCUGAUGAGUGAUACAUCACUUGAAAUUUACUUAUCAGUUGCUGAAAUGAUGAAAAAAAAACAAUAAACAAUAACAGUGAUAAUGUUCUCUUGCUAAAAUGACUUGUAUAUUAUACAAUCCACUCUACUUAAUGAUAUCGUUUUAAUAAAUGUUUGAUGAUCUCCAUUUAAAAACUACUUCAAUUUUUUUCUUCAUUUAACUUUUUGGUUGUUGAAAAUAACCUUAAUUAUCAAAUAAUUGGAGAAAGAGUAAAGAACAUUUAACAAAUUUAUGUGUAAAAAAAAAAAGGAGAAGUUGAAGAGAAAGGGUGCUUGCAGAAGUAGGUGUCAAAGAUAAAUCGGUCCAUAGGAAUUAUUUGUUGAGAUAUAAUUAAUAAUCUAGUAAAUUGAGCAAGAAGUUUGAAGGGUUAUUUGGUUUGUUUUUCAACAUGAAGUAAAGGGUAGAAUUGAUGUUUGCAAUGUAGCUUUGGAAAUGUAAAGCAUGAUUAAUGUAAUCUCUAGAGUUGUCUAUAAUGCAUAUAAAUAUAGAACUCUGGUUGUAUGAAAAGUAAGAGAGAAACGAAAAAAUGAAUUAAGCAAUAAAGUUUCAGAAAUUUCCAGCAAAAUACUCUGUUCUUAAAUAAAAAUUUUUCUGCACUUCCGCUUGCACCCAACAAAUUUGGUAUCAGAGCUAUUCCAAAACACCCUCAAAAUGACAUCAAACUUCUCCCUGUUUUGAGCUGGAAUAAGAGCAGAAAGCUGUGGGAAAAGGCACUAUUGCUGUCCAUACAAAGGAAGGUACUGAUUUCCUUAUUGUUUGCCUUUAUGUUGAUGCUGCAACAACAAUUUAUUGUGACAACAUGUCAGCCAUUGCUCUAACAAAGAACCCCGUAUUUCAUGCUAAAUCUAAGCACAUUGAGCUGCGUUAUCACUACAUCCGUGACUUAGUAAACAAAGGAGAAGUUAAUAUGGAGUUUAUCAGCACUAAUGAGCAGCCAUCAGAUUUUCUGACCAAAGCAAUCAACAUUGAGAAGUUUGAAAAAUUCAAGAAGCAAUUGAAGAUUACUAAUUAAGAGGGGGUGUUGAGAUAUAAUUAAUAAUCUAGUAAAUUGAGCAAGAAGUUUGAAGGGUUAUUUGGUUUGUUUUUCAACAUGAAGUAAAGGGUAGAAUUGAUGUUUGCAAUGUAGCUUUGGAAAUGUAAAGCAUGAUUAAUGUAAUCUCUAGAGUUGUCUAUAAUGCAUAUAAAUAUAGAACUCUGGUUGUAUGAAAAGUAAGAGAGAAACGAAAAAAUGAAUUAAGCAAUAAAGUUUCAGAAAUUUCCAGCAAAAUACUCUGUUCUUAAAUAAAAAUUUUUCUGCACUUCCGCUUGCACCCAACAUUAUUUUGGUUAUUUUUUAGCAAUAUAAAAAUUUUUUAGCAAGUAAAAAUUAAUUUUUUUCCAAUUUACUAAAAAAUUAACUAAAAACUUCUGCGAUAGCAUUUUUUAUGGGUGCAUAUACCUCCCUUUAAAAAAUAUAUAAUAAUUAAUGCUUAAUAUAGUAUUAAAUACGAAAAUAUCAAUAUUUGACUACUCAAAUUUAUAUCAUUAGGUCCUUAAAAUUUAAAAUUGAAGAUACAAAAGGAAAUAUAUAUAAAUUUCAUUCUCAUGGGAAAGGAUCAUCUUAUAAUCUUAUAAUAUUUGAGUUUUGAAAUAUUUUUUUGAAACAAAUGUACUUUUAUUUGUGUACAAUCAAUAUGUACUUAUUUAUUAUAUUUUUAUUUAUUAACUAUCAAUCAUGUGAGUAUAUUUAGUCAGAAAAAUUAUAUCAAGAGAGAACCCUAAUUUCACGUAAAGACAAAUACAAGACAAAUAUGGCAAUUUCUAUACUAUUCACUUUCCUGUAGAAUCAAUUAUCUAAAAUGCAAGUUUGUGGCUUCAAAAAACUCGCCAAAGAAAGAAGAUAAUUACAAUUGAGCAUUGAUAGCAAAUCUAAUGCAUCCAAUUCUUCUUAACUUGAUGAGUGACGUGAAUACUAGCAGUCUGUAACGCCCAAAUUUUUAUUAUUUUAUUUAUUUUUUAAUGGAAUUUAUAAAUGACAUUUUUGCCCUUAUAAAAACGGUUAUUCAUGGAAUAAUUUUUAGGAAAGGGUUAUUUUUCCAAAUUCAAUAGGGUUUCUUAAGACUCCCUAUAAAUUCAUAUUUUUCUCCUUCCAUAACCCUAAAAGCACGACGUUUCUUCUUCUUCUAUGCUGCUCAUUACGCUCUUACCCAAACCCUAGGAUUCAAACCUUUGGUUAAGAGAGAAUCAAAGCGAUUGGUAAGUUUAUUCCCCUUAUUCUCCACAAGAUUCCCAAUCACUCUAUCUAGGGUUUAUAUUGGCACGAUUUUAGAUUGUUAUAGAUCAUAAUGCAUGAUUUAGAAUGUGUUUAGGCUUUGUUUAGAGUUUUGAUUUAUUAUGAGUUUAGUUAAUCAACCUUGACGUAUUAAGCACAUAGAAUAGUUCCAUAGAAUAUUAUGUUAUUCUGAGUUUUAGAUUAAGAGUUAAAAUUCUGAGCAUCGGACCUGUACGGGUACGAAUUAAAAAAACCAGGUUCUUAGAAUAAGUUAUUAAUUGUCAUAUAUUGUAUUUGUUUAAGGCGUUGGAGGUGAUUGAGGCUCUUAGAGGGUUAGAGGUGUGUUAAUUCAAAUUCUUUUGUCAAGUUAAGUAACUUUAUUCCUAAUGUACUGGAUAUAUAUAUAUGAUUAUUUUGAUAUUAUUAUAAGUAUACGAAUUUUUUUACUACUUAGAAGAUUAAUGGAUUUUCAUAACAAAAUCAGUUUGUGUAAAUGUUUUCAAACCUAAAUUCUUUUUAAUAAAUUAUUUUGUAAAGGCUUUUAAAUAUGUAAGUUAUUUUAUGACAUGACUACCUUUUAUAAUUUUGUCUAUGAAAUAUUUGCAAGCCUAAAUUGUGGUUAUGGACUUUCAUGAAACUGAUACAAAUGUUUUGUACCUAUGUAUGAUUUCAAUUAUUUAUGAUUGUACGGGGGCCACCUCUUGGGACUAUAUGGGGGCCACCUCUUGAAAGCCAAAGCAUCGCAAAGUGCCACAUAUAAGUCAUUAUGUUUUGGCUCAUUGUCCAUAGUUAUUCUGAUUCUGAUUCUGAUCGUAUAAUACGAUAUAUGUCUGUUCUGGACCAGUACUGGGUUUUUGUUUUGAGUGUGCACACGAUAUUCUGAUUCUGUUUUUGGCCGAGUCACCAGGACUAUAGGUGACACUAUGUGACAUGAGCUAACCUUUUGUUUUAUGUGAAUGUGAUAUAUGAUUUGCUUUUGUAAGUAACUAUACUUUUGAUAUUCUGAGUUACAAUGAAUUUAAAUUAUUUUAUAGUGAUAUAUCGUUUUAUGAAAUUUAUGGAUUAUGAUAUAUGUUUUAAUUAAAAGAAGGCUUGCAAUAUUUUUGGUAUCGAUAGGCCUAGUGUGUUAGGAAUAGUUUUACUUACCGAGUUGACGGCUCACCCCUCGUCAUUACUUUUUGCAGAUUAAAUUUCUUUUGAGAGGUGCCCUUAGCUUUGGAGUUAGUAAUUUUCUGUUUCCGUUUGCCAUUUGAAUAAGAUGAGGAAUAGACUCAUGUUUCUAUUUAGUUUAUUUCUGUUAUGGACGUGUAAUUUGGAGUUUGAGACUUUUGUUAUUUUUUUUAUGUCCUCGGGAGAGAUUAUUUAGUAUUAGACGUUUGAAUUUGUGGAUUUAUUCGAAUAAGAAUUUGAGGUAUUUCAGUUUGAAACUUAUGAGUAAAGAUUAUGAUUUGUAAGUAACCUCCUUCUUCACGUGCUCCGCACGUGUUAGAUUUGGGGUGUUACAAUUGUGGUAUCAGAGCAUUAGGUUUGGGAUUCUGUAGACUUUAUUUGAGACUAGAUUUCUUAAGCACAAUCAAUUAGUUCAAUGGUAUUGCUUGCCAUGAGGUUAUCAGAAAGAGUAGAUCUUUAAGGCGAGGAGUAAUUUUGGUCUUUUUGAUUUUCUAGUUGCUUGUGACUUUGUAAUAACUCCUUGAUAUAGGAUUUUGGUAUUAACGUAGAAUGAAAUAUUUGUUUGCUCUUGUUGUCAAUCACUAAUGUUUCUCAGUUAUACUACUUACUCAGUACUUUGCGCACUAGCAAGGCCUUUAACUAUGAAUUAUUUACCGUUUUAUUUAUUUAUUUAUUUUUAUUCUUCGUGUUAUAGUCAAAAGAUGUUGCGUAGGGGAGGUGCUAGGCAUGCCUCUAGCUCGAGAGAUGUUUUAGGAAUCGCUGAUGACGUUGACCCAACCUUGCGUGAGAUGGCUAACGAAGGGAAUCCUAUGAUGCGCGCAAUGGUUAGAUUGAUGGAACAACAAAGUAAGUUGAUUCAAGAUAUGGCUAGAGGUAAAGUUGGGGCACAGGAGAAUGUGCCAGUUGAAAGACAAGGUGGUGGAAGAGAUCAGGGAGGUAUGAUGAGCUUAGAGCGGUUUAGGAAAUUGGGACCACCUACCUUUCAGGGGACUGCCGAUCCUAUGGUUGCAGAGGCAUGGUUAAGACAGAUGGAGAAAAUAUUUAUGGCUAUGGGUUGUAAUGAUGAUCAUAGGGUGAUAUUGGCCUCAUUCGUCCUUUAGGGCGAGGCAGACCACUGGUGGGAUGCCAAAUCCCGUCUUUUGAGGGCCGGGUUACAAGAUGCACCUAUUACUUGGGAGUUAUUUCUGGAGGCUUUUCAUGAAAAAUAUUUUCCUGAACGAGUUCGACAUCAGAUGGAGGUUGACUUCCUGAAAUUGACUCAAGGAACAAAGUUUGUUGCGGAGUAUGAGGAGCAAUUUACUGCUCUAUCUCAUUUUUCUCCUACCUUAGUUGCUAAUGAGGGUAGUAAGUGUAGGAAAUUCUUGGAAGGGUUACAUCCAAACAUCAAAAGACGGUUGACCAUCCUUAAGCUUAAUAAUUAUGCCGAUUUGGUGGAUCGUGCGAUUAUUGCAGAGAGGGAUAUAAUUCAAUCUCAAGUUGCACGAUCUAAUCGACAUAAUAACCAGCCAAUAAAACAUGAUAGUAAUGGUAGCGAAGGUGAACAUAAGGACUCUAAUGGUGGGUCUAUUCAAGAGAACAAACCAUUCUGUAAUCGUUGUGACAAGUACCAUAAUGGCACGUGCUAUUUAAAGAUAGAAGCUUGUUUUGGCUGUGGAAAGAUGGGGCAUAAGGUUAUAGAUUGCCCAAAAAAGCGCAGUGGUAACAUAGAUUCUGCCGAGAACCAAAGGAAAAAGCCAUGUGUCUUCGCCAUGGUGGAGCAAGAUAUUAAGAAACCGAAUAACGAAGCCUCAGGUGCAUUACCUAUUUUCCAUAGAAAGCCUUGAAUUUUUGAGUAAUUGGUAUUGUGCUUUUCCUCCAUCCUUUCUGAUUGGAUGCAUCGUAGCUAGAGUUUUUAGCCUAAUAAUUUCUUUUUUCAUCCAUUGAAUUUCUAUGGUACAUUAGUAGGAUAUGACGUGUGAUUUUAUAAGGCCAUUAGGAUUAACUUAUGGUUGGAUGGAGUAGGGACUAAUAUGAUAUUUAGUAGGAUAUGUGAUGAAGAUUGCAAUAAAAGUGUUUCACCAGCAAUGUGCGAGCGCAUUGAACAGUUUUGAAGUUGAAUGUGAAGUGAUAAAAAAUAUUCGCCAUCGAAACCUUAUCAAUGUUAUUGGCAGUUGUUCGAACGAUGACUUCAAAUCAUUAGUCCUAGAAUACAUGUCCAACGGGAGCUUGGAGGAUUGGCUGCAUUCUAGCAAUUAUGUGCUUAAUAUUUUUCGCAGGUUGAACAUAAUGAUUGACGUUGCAUCAGCUUUAAAAUAUCUCCACUUCGAUCAUUCAACUCGUAUCAUUCAUUGUGACUUAAAGCCUAAUAAUGUGUUGUUGGGUGAAAAUAUGGUUGCUCAUUUGAGUGAUUUUGGCAUAGCAAAGCUUUUAAGUGGAAGAUGAGUCUACGAUGCGAACAAAAACCCUUGCCACUAUAGGUUAUACGGCACCAGGUUUGCUUGAAACAACUUUUUUUUUUAGUUUAUUUUAAAAUUUCCAAAUUAUUGAUUUUUACGAUCCUCAUAUCAAAAUGUUAUUGAUUAUUUAUCUAAUUAUGAAAUAAUUUAAUUCAUAGAGUAUGGCAUAGAAGGAGAAAUAUCUGCAAAAAGUGAUGUUUACAGCUAUGGGAUUAUGUUGAUGGAAACUUUUACCAAGAAAAAACCCACAGAUGAGAUUUUUGUUGGAGAAUUGAGCUUAAAGCGUUGGGUUAAUGACUUGCUUCCUAAUUCAUUAGUGGAAGUUGUGGACAAAAUUCUGAUAAUUGGAGAGGAAAAACAUUUUGCCGCAAAGGAGCAAUGUCUGUUCUCUAUCUUUAUUUUGGCUCUGGAGUGUACAAUGGAAUCACCGGAAAAGAGGAUCAAUACAAAAGAUAUUGUUACCAGAUUACUCAAGAUAAGAGACACAUUGAGUAAAAGGAUAGGAAAUUUAAGUUAAUUUUGUUUGCUUUCAUUGAUAGUUACUUUGAAUUCAUGUAAUAAGUGUAAGAAUCGUUUAUCUUUUCUUUUGAUAUUUUUUUCUUGAGAAAACUGUUGUAGUCAUCUUUUUUCAAUGGGCAGAGUUGAUUUAGUUCUUCCAAGAAAUGCUAUUGUUGAUCUUUGUUAUAUACUUUUGUCUUUUUUUGCAUGCAUUUAGGUAGAAUAGUGGUCUAGCUGCAGGCUAACAAGUCAAGCUACGCUAAAAGGGUAUGAUUUAAUUUAUUAAACCUAACUUCAAGUUCAAGAAUUGUAUCUCAUUGCCACCAAUGCUUUAGACACCUAUUGGUAGGUUUGUGUCCUCAACUUUGUUUAGAGCAAAAGUUCCAGUCCCAUGGAGGCUCAAAUAUUCCUCUCCUACGUCCCGAACACACUAAAUUCAUCAGCCUCUUGAACCCUCUCCUGAGGGCGCCUUCUGUCCUCUGUUUUCUGUUUCCAUACACAAAUAGCAAAAAGAAUUCAGAAUGACAACUGGGACAUAUAUAAGAGUGAAAUAAUUAAAAAAAAUUAUGCUUUUUUGUUUGUCGUGUUAAAAUCGUAAGGUAUCUAAGUACUAUGAAAGAGAUUAGUUUACGAAAACUGAAGCCAAGGGUUCAUAAAAAAGUGCAAAGAGAAUAAAGGACAACGCUUAUGUAAAGCGACAUAAUUGUAUUGGUAGCACAAUGUCACGUUCAUACAGAGAUCAAGUACAUUAUUUACAGCUGGUAAGGGCUAAGAAUUGAUGUAGCUAGAAUACAAAUAUGAUAAGGUAUGUUGUGCACUAUUGUUUUAUUCUACAAUCAAUCUUGACCCUUGAUGCUUGGCUCUCAAUCUUGUCCAUUGAUCUUCUCUGAUCUCGAAAACUUCAAGACCUUUCAAUCUCAUGCCUUAUUAUUGGUAUGUUCUAUGCUGUUAAUUUCAAAUACUAGCUUUUCCGCCAACUUGCCAAUUAUUUGUUCAUUGGUGCGUUCUGUCAAACAGUGUGGAUACUUAUACCAAACGCUUUCUGUUUUAACUCCCCCUUUCAAGCUCAACUAUCUGGGAAGACACUAAUAAGCUUGUUUCUCAAGUAUAUGUAUCUGAAAAUUAAAUUUUCAAAAUUAUAUUCGGACUCUACAUUUUCUAAUGAACAUUGGUUUGGCUCAUAAGCUUAUUAUACUUGGGCUUGGUAGGAUUAUCGGUCGGUAGAUGAACAAGUGUUAGAGCUUUCGAAUUUAUGCCAAUUAAAAAAAAAUCUAUAUAAAUUUUCCACUAGGCUAUUACCACAAUAAACAUUUGGAUGAACUAUUAUUGAAACCUUAUUGAGAAGUAGGACAUGUCGCAUACCAAUGCACUGACAUAUCUUCAAAUAGUGGUAACUCCACACAACAUGGCACAAUAAAUUAGAGUUAUAUAGAUAAAAUCUUUCACUCUUUGGUAAUCAUCAAUGUCGGCAUGGCAAUGCGUCCGACAAAAUUCAUAAAUCAAAACAAAAAUAGAGAAUCAUAUUUGUUUCAGAUUGUAGUGAUGGUUGUUCAUAAUUCACAAUUUUAUUUAAUAUCUUCAAAUUCGCAUUUUAAAAUGCACAAAUGUUUGUGUAUACAUAAUUAGUAAUCGAUUCUCAAGCUUGGACAUUUAAAAGCACUGCUAAAAGACAAAAUUUUAAUUCACUAUUUUUUGUCUUUUAAUUUUCUUUAAGUUUUAAUGAUUCCGCAUUUUAAAAUCCUGUGGAACGUACAUGUAAAAUUCUUUUAUCUUUUAGAGGAAAAUGGGCAAGAGAAGAAGAUUUGGCAAAGGAAUUGCAACCGCAUUUGGAGCUAGUUUUAAUUUUGUCUUUUAAUUCUUUUACACUUGGCUUUUGUUAUUGAUGUCAACUUCGAUGUGUGUGCGUGUGCGACUGAAUUCAACUUACAUGCUAUUGAUGCAGCCACCAAAAAGGGGUGGUCCAUCAUCAAUCAACAAGGUUUAUUAUUAUUUCCAUAUUGAUUUUCUUAAUUAUAAAUAAUACUAAUGUUAUUUCAUAGUUAUAAAUAUAUUAGAAUUAAUCGAAAUCAUUUUUUAGUGUGGCAUGGCUAAAACUACCUUUUUUUUUUAUAAGUAAUUACUACUUUCACAUUAAGAAAAAUACUCCUAUUUUUAAGGAAAAGUCAAGUACCUGUAGUUGUGAAGACUCAAGCUCACUCCCUUAUGAUAAAUCUUCAUAUUAAUUACGUAAAUAUCCUCUAAAAUUUUAAAUUAGCUAUUCAAAAUUUGAUGUUAUACGGGUAUUUCAUUUAUUUGAGUAGGGGUUAGGGGUCAAUUGGAUACAAAUUCAAAAUUAUCCUUACUUGAGAAGGUGAUAAAAAUUGGGGAUUUAGUUUGGAUGUCAUUAGCUACAAAUAUUAAACUCAUACAUUUAAUUCAAAAUUAGAGGGCUGAUAUGUGCGCAUCAUCGUCCACGUUAUAGUGACACUGCGUCACCAUUCCACAACCUCUCCAAUGAAAAAUUGACAUGCUUCUUGUGCGCAUCUAAUCAGAAUCUUGAAAAUUAAUCACAAAAUUGUACUUUUAUUAUAAAAAGAAUAAAGAAACUCCAAGAAAAAAAAAAAGACUUACAUAAAUAGAUUGAAAAAUCUAGAUUUCAAGUUGUCUAUAUUAGCUUGAUAUUUUUAUUAAUAGUCAUCCUCCCAAAAAAAUUCCAUCAAAAUAUAUUUUAAUUUUAUGUUAAUUCAUAAACAUGAAAAAAUCAUUUUAGAAUUAAUUAAAACAUAAUUUAUUGUUGCUCAAAAAAGGUAGAACUUAGUUAUCAGAAAAAAGUGUCUAAAAUAUAUGUUAAAAAAAAAUCAUGGUUGGUUGGACUGAUUGAAUUUUUUUUUUCUUUUUUAAGAAUUAAGACAAUUGGAUGGAUUGAGUAAUAAUAAUACAUAUUUAUUUGGCAAAUGGCAGGGAGGCUUUCGUCUGAUGCAGAUUGAUUAGAGAGAAAAUAUAACAAUUUUAAGCUCGUCAGAUUCGAAGCUGCUUACCUGUCGUGUGGGGAUCACUUCCGUGUCUUAUUUUUCUAGAAAAAUCUGGACCAUUGGAUUUACCAUUAGUCAAUAGAGAAAUGUUGAUCUUGAUUCUUGAUCAAGAUCGAAGUUUGAUUCUAACUAACACGAUAUCAGAUUGCGAAGCAAGCAAAUUGAAAGUCACUUGUUCUAUGGAAGAAACACAAGUUCUAAUAAAACAUUCUCAUAGUAAAGUGAAUUACCAUCCAACGAUCCAACUCAUGUUUUCAAAUUGUAAAUUGCAAAUCGUGUGUUUGCUCCAUUACAGAGUUUCUUCAAUCUGAAAUAGCGAAUCAUUUGUGUUCUAGAUUAAUCGUGGGUCUAUAUCCAAAUCUAAAAAUUGACUAACUUGAUUUCUAUUAAAUUCUUAAUCCUAACAAGAAAAAUUGAAGAUUAAAAACGACUAAUUUGGUACCAUACCACUAUUGUAACAUAGGUAGAUCCUCUAUUAAUUGGAGUAAAGAUUGAAUUAUCUCAUUUAUUAAGGUUUAUCAAAAUCUUGUGUCAAAAUCUAUUAAUGAUAUAGGUUCAAGGAUGAAAAAGUCACUGCAUUACUUUUGAGUUCCCAAAUAGAUGAAUGGAUGUUAUUUUUAGAUUCCGGAGAGUCGAAAAUAUUAAGAUAGGUGCUAAAUCGAAUUAAGUUGUAGAUACGAUAGAAAUGGAUUUGGAGAGAUUGGAAUCCUAGGUAAUCCGGUGCACGUUGUCGUGUUAAAUUCUCGUUGACUUCACGUUGACUGAAGCAUUAUUGGAAGAAACAAGUUUAUUGAUGUGAGGCCUUUGAGGUUGUAAGUGUUAAAUCUGAGAAGAAUACCCACACACCCAUUAUCCUAUUACUCUUAUAUCACAUGAAGAGAAUUCAACAUUUGAUUCACACGGAAAAAAUUUGUGAGGAAUGUGAGGGUUGAUGGAAUAUAAUUUAGAUACAAAGUGUUUACCAGUGCGAUGCUUCGCAAGUGUUCUUGAAUCAAUAUAAACUCACAUUAUUUUCAUAGUGAUUGUUUCAUCUGCACGUUAAUAUAAUCACAUGUCGAGAUUUUUUUCCUUAAAUUAUGGUCUUAUUUAGUAUUGAGGUGUUAUAUCUUUUAAGGUACAAUUAUUGUUGGAAAAAAGUUACAACUAUCAAAUAAAAUUAAUACUAUGUGCUAAAUAUAAUUGUUAAAUAAUAAUUUUGACAAAAUUAGUGAAGUUAUAUAGAUUUUUUUCAUCAUCCAAGUAUAAAAUCAAAUCAACUUAACUUCUAAGUUAUAUAUCGGCUACUGUUUAUCAUAUGUUUUAGUUUUGUAACUUUUAAAUUAUAGUUACCCAACCUCAAUUCUAAACAAGACCUAUAAAGAUCAAAGAUUUCCUCAUUAAAUUAUAUGUCUUGUGAUUGCUUAUUUAAUUUAUAUUUUUGUUAUUUAUCUUUAUUAAUUAUAAUCAUCUUUUUAUAAAUUAAAAUUGAAGGAAGUUGAUUGAUGUUGUUGACACACACACGCACGCGCACGCACACACUCACAAAGAUAUAUUGGAAGUGCUUACGUCGACUCGAAGUUGUUGGGAAUUAAUGCAUGUAUUGAUUUAUUGGGAGUGUUUAAAUGAUUUUGUGAUUUACUUGAUUUAUUGAUUGAAUAUUGUUUGAUUGCUUCAUAUCCAUUCUAGAAAGUUUAUUUCUUUGUGAAAGUUCAACGAAAUAUGUUUUUUUUUUUAAAUAAGGGUGUUCUAAAUAAUUUUAAAAAAUAUAUGCUUGUCUUCCCAAAAUAGCCUUUGAAUACACAAGUAAAUGUCUAGCCUUUGGUGAGGAUAGUUUGGUCAUUGCAUUUUACAAGUAAGAUGAGUGGUGGAGAAAAAUGAGGAGUGCACAUAACUCUUCAGCAAAUCCCACCAACAAUUCCAUUUUCUUAAUUAAUUAAUCUCCUUUUUUAUCCCCAAACAAAUCCUAAUGAUACUAUUAUCAGGUUUAAAACAGUACACAAAUAGUGAAAAGCUAACUAGUCUGUAGAGUAAUUUGCUAAUUGCUAUCUCCUCUCUAUGCUCGCUGAAUAAUUUGUUGCAUGCAAACUUUUUAUUUUAUGCAAAUCAUACGUACUGUAACAUUGGAAUUGAUGUAUAAGCAAAAAUACAAUAAUAUUUAUGUCAAUACAAAUAGUUUUUUUUCCCUUUUUAAAUAAACACAACGCGAUGUUGCUCUGCUCUACAUUUUUGCUAUCUCUUUAUUAUUAUUAUUUUUUUUUGGGCUUCUUAAAGCCUCAAACUUUGAUAACCAAAACUUCAUCGACCUAUGAAAAAAUCUGCAGAUUAGUUUUUAUUAUCGGAAUAAUUGUUUGAGAAUACUAAAACAAAAUAUAAAAUAAGAAAAUACGGGGUUAAAUUUGGGGAAAACAAAAAGGCAUGUUGGAUAGAUUACUAUAGUUUAAGGGGAAAAAAAAAUUCAAUUGGAAAUUUUUUUCUUUAAUUUUUGUUUUACUUGAUUGAGAUUUCUCCUUAGUCCUUACAGUUUUAAGUUUGGAUGCCGUAGGGUUAGUAAUUUAGUAUUUCCCUUGCAAGCUGAGCUUAAGGAUGAAAUUUCUUUUAAGAAAUUAAAAAAGAUUAAAAAAAGCAUACCAAUAGGUAAUUAUAAAUAACCAUAAAUAAACAUAAACAAAAUGUUUAUGAAGUAAAUUACACAUGCACAUAUUAUUUUUUUGUUAUAUUUCUUACUUGUCUAUUUUAUUUGCUGCUUGAUAACCCGUAAAUACUAAUCUAGUACUGCUAAUUUCAGACACAAAAUGUUUAACUCUAGGCUGCAGUUUUACUCAAAAUGAUGACCACUGGCUUCGCACCAUUUAACCGGCAUACAUUUCUACAAAUUGAACAAGGCUAUUGAUUUUCAUUAUUAUUUUUUAUUUAUUUAUAAAUUACUAUUUUAAUUUUCACUUUUUAUUGGGUUGUUUACAGAUUAGUGAAGUUGGUGGUCGUGAUGCACUCACAAGGUACAAUUUUAUUUUAUAAUUUCAAAUUUGUAUUUUAAAAUGCAGGUACAUUAUGUAUACAUAAUUAUUGAUUUUCAUAUGUGGGUGUUUUGAAAUAUUGCUAAAAGACCAAACUUUAAUAAACUAUUUUUUAUCUUUUUUUUUCCUAAAGUUUGAGUGAUAUCCGCAUUUUAAAUUCAUGUGGAACAAAAGCUAAUGUAUGCUCAAAAUUCUUUUAUUUUUUCCGAGAAGAAUGGGUAAGAGAAGAAGAUUUUUCUGUUGAAAAAGAAAAACUAAUACGAUGCAAGCAUAGGAAAGAGGUCAGUGUUUUGGAUUAGAAUUUAGUAUUGAGCUGAAUUUUAUACUAAACUCUUUUAUAGUACUGCGAUUAAUAAACUCAUGAUUUGCUUUUGCUUUUACUUCAAGUGAAAGAAAGAGGAAACCGUUUGAUUUUUGUUUGAUUCUUGACUAUAGAUGUUACCUAUAUAGAGAGUUGAGGUAGCUGCCUUAAGUGAUGGUUAUAAAAAGAUUAAGCAGCGCACACAAUCUUACUGUCGUCCAGACCAUCCAGCUAUGAUGACUCUAGUUUUUUGGUUACAUUAACUUUAGUGGAAAGGAGGGCCAAUUUAACAAAGACUAGAUUUGGUGGCUUACUAUAAUGCUUAUUCUCAGGGAAUCUAAUGUUAUAAGAUGAUUUAAUGAUCUUCUAUGAUUGUGAGUAGUAUAGUAUAAUUGAAAAGAGCUUGGGCUCCUAUGAUGAAUAUUUAAUAGUAACACAGUACUGUUAUUGAAAAAAACACAGUUACAAUAAACUCUUCAUUUAUUCAUUGUGGAGAUUGAAUGGCAAACAGAGAAUAAAAUGAAGCAGAGGAAUCUCAUUGCCAGUAAAAUUGACCCUCUUUAAUGUUAUAUGGCACAGGUGUGUGUACAGCAAGAUCAAGUUACUUGCAGUUUUUAUUGUAAAAUAUAUAGGUUAUGACCAUGAUCAUUGUAGUUAGGUUUUGAUGAUUUUAGAUGCUUUUUUUAUUUUUUUUAAAAUUGUGACACCUUUGAUUUAUGGUAGCUUUGCAGAAGAAAAAUAUAUAUAUAUAAAUUAGGAGGGAUGAGUUAACUAACGAUUGCAAUCAUUACAGUAAUGUUGAUGAGUGAUACAUCAUUUGAAAUUUACUUGUCAGUUACUGAAAUGAUGAAAAAAAACAAUAAACAAUAGCAGUAAUAUUUUUAUGGAAAAUCUUGGUUUUUAUGGAAAUACUCUUGCUGAAAUUCUAAUUUUGACUUUCAACUCUUGGUUUUUAUGGAAAGUAAAAUGACUUGUUUGUUAUAUUCAUACAAUCCACUCUACAUAAUGAUUUCAUUUUAAUAAAUGCUUGAUGAUCUCCACUGAAAAACUACUUCAAUUCUUUUGUUUUAUUUAACUUUUUGGUUGUUGAAAAUAGCCUUAAUUUUCAAAUAAUUGGAGAAAGAGUAAAGAACAUUUAACAAAUUUAUGUGCCAAAAAUAAAGGAGAAAUUGAAGAGAAAGGGUGCUUGCAGAAGUGGGUGCAAAGAUAAAUCAGUCCAUAAGAAUUAUUGUGGUUAUUAAGUUUUUGGCAAUAUAAAAAUUUUUCAGCAAAUAAAAAUUGAUUUUUUCCGAUUUACUAAAAAAUUAAUUAAAAACUUCGGUGAUAGCAUUUUUUAUGGGUGCAUGUACCCUCCCUUUAAAAAAAAUAUAAUAAUUAAUACUUAAUAUAGUAUUAAAUACGAAAAUAUCAAUAUUUGACUACACAAAUUUAUAUCAUUAGGUCCUUAAAAUUUAAAAUUGAAGACACAAAAUGAAAUAUAUAUAAAUUUCAUUCUCACAGGAAAGGAUCCUCUUAUAAUCUUAAAAUAUUUGAGCUUUGAAAGAUUUUUUAAAACAAAUGUACUUUUAUUUUUGUACAAUCAAUAUUUACUUAUUUAUUAUAUUUUUAUUCAUUAACUAUCAAUCAUGUGAGUAUAUUUACUCAGAAAUAUCAUAUCAAGGAAGAAUCUUGAUCCCACGCACACACAAAUAUGUUAAUUUCUAUACGCUUCACUUACCUGUAGAAUCAAUUAUCUAAAAUGCAAGUUUGUGGCCACAAAAAAAGCCAAAGAAAGAAGAUAAUAACAAUUGACUUGUAUAUUAUACUCAUACAAUCCACUCGACAUAAUGAUAUCAUUUUAAUAAGGCAAUGGCUGAUGAUCUCCAUUGAAAAACCAAUUCAAUUUUUUUGCUUCAUUUAACUUUUUGGUUGUUGAAAAUAACCUUAAUUAUCAAAUAAUUGGAGAAAGAGUAAAGAACAUUUAACAAAUUUAUGUGCAAAAAAAAAAAAAAAAAAAGGAGAAGUUGAAGGGAAAGGGUGCUUGCAGAAGUGGGUGUCAAAGAAAAAUCUGUCCAUAAGAAUUAUUGCGGUUAUUUUUUGGCAAUAUAAAAUUUUUAUAGCAAGUAAAAAUUAAUUUUUUCCAAUUUACUAAAAAAUUAACUAAAAACUUCUGCGACAACAUUUUUUAUGGGUGCAUAUACCCGCCCUUUAAAAAAAAAAAUAAUUAAUGCUUAAGUUAGUAUUAAAUACGAAAAUAUCAAUAUUUGACUACUCAAAUUUAUAUCAUUAGGUCCUUAAAAUUUAAAAUUGAAGAUACUAAAGGAAAUAUAUAUAAAUUUCAUUCUCAUGGAAAGGAUUCUCUUAUAAUCUUAUAAUAUUUGAGUUUUGAAAUUUUUUUGAAACAAAUGUAAUUUUAUUUGUGUACAAUCAAUAUUUACUUAUUUAUUAUAUUUUAAUUUAUUAACUAUCAAUCAUGUAAGUAUAUUUAGUCAGAAAAAUUAUAUCGAGAGAGAAUCCUAAUUUCACGCAAACACAAAUACAAGACAAAUAUGUUAAUUUCUAUACUAUUCACUUUCCUGUAGAAUCAAUUAUCUAAAAUGCAAGUUUGUGGCUAUAGAAAACUCGCCAAAGAAAGAAGAUAAUAACAAUUGAGCAUUGAUAGCAAAACUAAUGCAUCAUUUUCUUCUUGACUUGAUGAGAUGGUGCCAUUACAAAACAAUAAUUACCUUAAUUGACGGGCACUGAGUGAUGUGAAUACUACCAGCCAGUUCAUCUCUUCCAGUCUUGCUUAAUCACAAUCACAAACACCACGAGAUUGACAUUUGCAUUAUAUAUAUCUUCAGCAAUCGAAACACCUUGCAUUACCAAAUUAACCGGUAACAAACAAAGCAACCUUUCAUGGAGAGAAACUUUAGUCUCAGUAUGAUCACUGUGUCAUUAACCCACUUCCUGCUUCUUUGCUUGGUUGUUGCAGCAGCAGCAGCAGCAGCAAGCAACAAUAUUACCACAGACCAACAAGCUCUUCUUGCCCUGAAAGAUCAUAUAACUUAUGAUCCAACCAAACUUUUUGCCCAUAAUUGGACCUCGAAUACCUCUGUUUGCACCUGGAUUGGCCUCAGUUGUGAUGUCAAUAGCCAUAGAGUCACAGCCUUAGAUAUUUCUCAAUUCAAUAUACAAGGCACCAUCCCUCCUCAACUUGGAAACCUCUCUUCACUCACAACACUUAAUCUUAGUCGUAAUAAGCUUUCUGGAAGCAUUCCCCCCUCCAUCUACACCAUGCAUACGCUAAAAUUUCUAGACUUCACUGAUAACCUGCUCUCUGGUUCAGUGUCUUCCUCCGUCUUCAACAUGUCUUCAAUAUUAGACAUUCGUUUGACCAAUAACAGACUUUCUGGUGAGCUUCCGAAAAAUAUUUGCAACUAUCUUCCUUACUUGAAAGCCCUUUUUCUGGACAAAAACAAGUUGCAUGGCAAAAUUCCUUCAGCUUUAUCAAAUUGCAAACAACUGCAACAAUUGCAUUUGCAGUUCAAUAAUUUAUCCGGUGCAAUACCGAAAGAAAUCGGCAACUUGACUAUGCUCAAAUGGAUAGAUCUCGGCUACAACAAACUCCACGGUAUGUUUCAUAAUGCUAUCUAAAUAUUUUAAUUUAUCACUUGUUUAUUUUAAUUUCUCACUUGUUAUUUUUCUUGAAUACUUUAGAUAAGAUCUAGUAAGUGAGAUUUUUUGCAUCUAUGUUAAUUUACCAGGUGAGAUACCCCCCGAAAUCGCUAAUCUUCGAAAUCUAGAGGCUUUGGUGCUUGGAAUGAACAACCUAGUGGGUGUGUUACCAGCUACAAUCUUCAACAUGUCAACACUGAAGGUAGUUAUCCUCAUUAAUAACUCUCUCUUCGGAAGUCUCCCAUCAAGAAUAGACCUUUCACUUCCAACUAUUGAGCACCUUAACUUGGCACUUAAUAGAUUUUCUGGAACCAUUCCUAGUUCCAUCACCAAUGCUUCUAAGCUCACCUUUCUAGAGUUGGGAGGAAACACAUUUUCGGGCUUUAUUCCGAACACAAUUGGUAAUUUAAGAAACCUUGAGUGGCUCAGCUUGGGUAAUAACUACUUGACAUCUUCAACCUCAAAAUUGAGCUUUCUUUCCUCUUUGGCAAAUUGCAAGAAAUUAAGAGACAUAGGCUUAACAGGCAAUCCACUCGACGGUAUCCUUCCAAGUUCAAUAGGUAAUCUUUCCAUGUCUUUGAAAACACUUUACAUCGGCAAUUGCAGUAUUAGUGGCAACAUUCCUCAAUCAAUUGGCAAUUUAAGCAACUUAUUGGCCUUAGUAUUAGAAGGCAAUAAAUUGACCGGACCAAUCCCAACUACAUUCGGCCAACUGCAGAAACUCCAAGGCUUAUUUCUUACAUUCAAUAAGUUGGUAGGUUCAUUCCCAGAUGAGCUUUUCCAUCUAGCUAGGCUGGAUAAAUUGGUAUUAUUGGGAAAUAAGCUUUCAGGAUCUAUGCCUUCAUGCUUAAGUAACCUCACUUCUCUGAGAUCUCUCUACUUAGGGUCCAAUAGGUUUACUUCUGUUAUUCCCUCAACUUUCUGGAGCCUAAAAGACAUCUUGUUCUUUGACUUUUCAUCAAAUUUCUUGGUUGGUACUCUUUCUUUCGACAUAGGUAAUUUGAAGGUGCUUCUAGGAAUAAGUUUAUCAGAAAAUAACUUAUCGGGUGAUAUGCCAGCCACAAUUGGAGGGAUAAAAAAACCUUCAAAUUAUGGACCUAGCAUAUAAUAGAUUGGAAGGGCAAAUUCCUGAAUCAUUUGGUGACUUGACAAGUUUGGAGGUUUUGAAUUUGUCAAAUAAUAAAAUCUCUGGGUCUAUUCCAAAAUCCAUGGAGAAACUCUUUUACCUCCGAGAGUUAAAUCUCUCUUUCAAUGAACUAGAAGGUGAGAUUCCUAGUGGAGGAAUUUUUGCCAACUUCACAGCUGAGUCAUUUAUGGGAAAUGAGUUAUUGUGUGGUUUACCAAAUCUUCAAGUCCAACCAUGCAAAGUUAGCAAGCCGAGGACAGAACAUAAAUCAAGGAAAAAGAUACUUCUCAUUGUGAUUGUUUUGCCAUUGAGUAUUGCUCUAACAAUAGCAAUCACUCUACCUCUCAAAUCUAAGCUGAUCGAAUGUGGAAAAAGAAGCACAGUGUUGUCAAAUGAUAGUGUCUUGUCAUCACAAGCAACACUAAGAAGAUUUUCAUACUUAGAACUUUUACAAGCAACAGAUAAUUUUGCUGAAAACAACGUAAUUGGCAUAGGAGGUUUUGGUUCUGUUUACGGUGGAAGACUUGAAGAUGGGAUGAAGAUUGCAAUAAAAGUGUUUCACCAGCAAUGUGCAAGCGCAUUGAAGAGUUUUGAGGCUGAAUGUGAAGUGUUAAAAAAUAUUCGCCAUCGAAACCUUAUUAAAGUUAUCAGCAGUUAUUCAAACAAUGACUUCAAAGCAUUAGUUCUAGAAUACAUGUCCAACGGGAGCUUAGGGGACUGGCUGCAUUCUAGCAAUUAUGUGCUGAAUAUAUUUCAGAGGUUGAACAUAAUGAUUGAUGUUGCAUCAGCUUUAGAACAUCUCCACUUCGAUCAUUCGACUCCUAUUAUUCAUUGUGACUUAAAGCCUAGUAAUGUAUUGUUGGACGGAAAUAUGGUUGCUCAUUUGAGUGAUUUUGGCAUAGCAAAGCUUUUAAGUGGAGAGGAUGAGUCUAUGAUGCGAACAAAAACCCUUGCCACUAUAGGUUAUAUGGCACCAGGUUUGCUUCAAACAACUUUUUUUUUUUAGUUCAUUUUAAAUUUUGCAACUUAUUGAUUUUUACGAUCCUCACAUCAAAAUGUUAUUGAUUAUUUAUCUAAUUUUGAAAUUAAUUUGAUUCAUAGAGUACGGCAUAGAAGGAGAAGUAUCUACAAAAAGUGAUGUUUACAGCUAUGGGAUUAUGUUGAUGGAAACUUUUACCAAGAAAAAACCCACAGAUGAAAUUUUUGUUGGAGAAUUGAGCUUGAAGCGUUGGGUUAAUGACUUGCUUCCUACUUCAUUAGUGGAAGUUGUGGACAAAACUCUGCUAAGUGGAGAGGAAAAACAUUCUGCAGCAAAGGAGCAAUGUCUGUUGUCUAUCUUUAGUUUGGCUCUGGAGUGUACAAUGGAAUCACCGGAAAAGAGGAUUAAUGCAAAAGAUAUUGUUACAAGAUUACUCAAGAUAAGAGACACAUUGAGUAAAAGGAUAGGAAAUUUAAGUUAAUUUCGUUUGCUUUCAUUGAUAGUUAAUUCGAAUUCAUGUAAUAAGUCUAAGAAUCUUAUAUCUUCAAAUUCGCAUUUUAAAAUGCACAAAUGUUUGUGUAUACAUAAUUAGUAAUCGAUUCUCAAGCUUUGGACAUUUAAAAGCACUGCUAAAAGACAAAAUUUUAAUUCACUAUUUUUUUGUCUUUUAAUUUUCUUUAAGUUUUAAUGAUUCCGCAUUUUAAAAUCCUGUGGAACGUGCAUGUAAAAUUCUUUUAUCUUUUAGAGGAAAAUGGGCAAGAGAAGAAGAUUUGGCAAAGGAAUUGCAACCGCAUUUGGAGCUAGUUUUAAUUUUGUCUUUUAAUUCUUUUACACUUGGCUUUUGUUAUUGAUGUUAACUUCGAUGUGUGUGCGUGUGCGACUGAAUUCAACUUACAUGCUAUUGAUGCAGCCACCAAAAAGGGGUGGUCCAUCAUCAAUCAACAAGGUUUAUUAUUAUUAAUUUCCAUAUUGAUUUUCUUAAUUAUAAAUAAUACUAAUGCUAUUUCAUAGUUAUAAAUAUAUUAGAAUUAAUCGAAAUCAUUUUUUAGUGUGGCAUGGCUAAAACUACCUUUUUUUUAUUAUAAGUAAUUACUACUUUCACAUUAAGAAAAAUACUCCUAUUUUUAAGGAAAAGUCAAGUACCUGUAGUUGUGAAGACUCGAGCUCACUCCCUUAUGAUAAAUCUUCAUAUUAAUUACGUAAAUAUCCUCUAAAAUUUUAAAUUAGCUAUUCAAAAUUUGAUGUUAUACGGGUAUUUCAUUUAUUUGAGUAGGGGUUAGGGGUCAAUUGGAUACAAAUUCAAAAUUAUCCUUACUUGAGAAGGUGAUAAAAAUUGGGGAUUUAGUUUGGAUGUCAUUAGCUACAAAUAUUAAACUCAUACAUUUAAUUCAAAAUUAGAGGGCUGAUAUAUGCGCAUCAUCGUCCACGUUAUAGUGACACUGCGUCACCAUUCCACAACCUCUCCAAUGAAAAAUUGACAUGCUUCUUGUGCGCAUCUAAUCAGAAUCUUGAAAAUUAAUCACAAAAUUGUACUUUUAUUAUAAAAAGAAUAAAGAAACUCCAAGAAAAAAAAAAGACUUACAUAAAUAGAUUGAAAAAUCUAGAUUUCAAGUUGUCUAUAUUAGCUUGAUAUUUUUAUUAAUAGUCAUCCUCCCAAAAAAAUUCCAUCAAAAUAUAUUUUAAUUUUAUGUUAAUUCAUAAACUUGAAAAAAUCAUUUUAGAAUUAAUUAAAACAUAAUUUAUUGUUGCUCAAAAAAGGUAGAACUUAGUUAUCAGAAAAAAGUGUCUAAAAUAUAUGUUAAAAAAAAAUCAUGGUUGGUUGGACUGAUUGAAUUUUUUUUUCUUUUUUAAGAAUUAAGACAAUUGGAUGGAUUGAGUAAUAAUAAUACAUAUUUAUUUGGCAAAUGGCAGGGAGGCUUUCGUCUGAUGCAGAUUGAUUAGAGAGAAAAUAUAACAAUUUUAAGCUCGUCAGAUUCGAAGCUGCUUACCUGUCGUGUGGGGAUCACUUCCGUGUCUUAUUUUUCUAGAAAAAUCUGGACCAUUGGAUUUACCAUUAGUCAAUAGAGAAAUGUUGAUCUUGAUUCUUGAUCAAGAUCGAAGUUUGAUUCUAACUAACACGAUAUCAGAUUGCGAAGCAAGCAAAUUGAAAGUCACUUGUUCUAUGGAAGAAACACAAGUUCUAAUAAAACAUUCUCAUAGUAAAGUGAAUUACCAUCCAACGAUCCAACUCAUGUUUUCAAAUUGUAAAUUGCAAAUCGUGUGUUUGCUCCAUUACAGAGUUUCUUCAAUCUGAAAUAGCGAAUCAUUUGUGUUCUAGAUUAAUCGUGGGUCUAUAUCCAAAUCUAAAAAUUGACUAACUUGAUUUCUAUUAAAUUCUUAAUCCUAACAAGAAAAAUUGAAGAUUAAAAACGACUAAUUUGGUACCAUACCACUAUUGUAACAUAGGUAGAUCCUCUAUUAAUUGGAGUAAAGAUUGAAUUAUCUCAUUUAUUAAGGUUUAUCAAAAUCUUGUGUCAAAAUCUAUUAAUGAUAUAGGUUCAAGGAUGAAAAAGUCACUGCAUUACUUUUGAGUUCCCAAAUAGAUGAAUGGAUGUUAUUUUUAGAUUCCGGAGAGUCGAAAAUAUUAAGAUAGGUGCUAAAUCGAAUUAAGUUGUAGAUACGAUAGAAAUGGAUUUGGAGAGAUUGGAAUCCUAGGUAAUCCGGUGCACGUUGUCGUGUUAAAUUCUCGUUGACUUCACGUUGACUGAAGCAUUAUUGGAAGAAACAAGUUUAUUGAUGUGAGGCCUUUGAGGUUGUAAGUGUUAAAUAUGAGAAGAAUACCCACACACCCAUUAUCCUAUUACUCUUAUAUCACAUGAAGAGAAUUCAACAUUUGAUUCACACGGAAAAAAUUUGUGAGGAUUGUGAGGGUUGAUGGAAUAUAAUUUAGAUACAAAGUGUUUUACCAGUGCGAUGCUUCGCAAGUGUUCUUGAAUCAAUAUAAACUCACGUUAUUUUCAUAGUGAUUGUUUCAUGUGCACGUGGAUAUAAUCACAUGUCGAGAUUUUUUUCCUUAAAUUAUGGUCUUAUUUAGUAUUAAGGUGUUAUAUCUUUUAAGGUACAAUUAUUGUUGGAAAAAAGUUGCAUCUAUCAAAUAAAAUUAGUACUAUGUGCUAAAUAUAAUUGUUAAAUAAUAAUUUUGACAAAAUUAGUGAAGUUAUAUAGAUUUUUUUUCAUCAUACAAGCAUAAAAUCAAAUCAACUUAACUUCUAAGUUAUAUAUCGGCUACUUAGGGAUGGCAAUGGAUUGGAUCUGACCCAAGAUCCACGUGAUCCAAAUCUAAUCGGAUCGGAUUUGGGUCAGUUUAAAAUGAAUUUGGAUCGGAUUUGGAUAUUGAUGUGCGGAUCUAAGACGGAUCUGGAGCAGGUCUGGAUCUAUCUUAGUAUCUAAAUCCAUAUCCAUAUCCACCCAUCUUUUAAUUUAAUUUUAUUUUAAAAGUUUCUUAACAAUUGUGGAAUUAUAAUGAUAAUGAAUUUUAUUCAUAGCAUAUUAGUGGUAUUUACCAUGCAUUUAAACUCUUUAAAAUUAAAGGUUAGUUUUGUAAAUUUAAAGACUAGCCAGGCCCAAAGCAUGUACAUGCAAUAUUCAAAUUGCAAGCCAAGUAAUACAACCUGGCAAUUUAUUUUAUUAUAUUGGCCAAAUAAUUUUUAAGGAAUAUAGGUAUUCAUAUAUUUUGUCAAAUAUGGUCAUAAUAAAAAUAAUAAAGGACUGAAUAUAAAUCAUAUUUUAUUUAUAUGUCAUUAUCUAAUAUUAUAAGAAUGAGGGUGGGUGUGUUGUAGAUAUUAGAAUGAUGAAUGAGACAAUAGAAUAUUAGAUUGAUCUUACUCCUGCAAUUACUUUUAAAGGAUAUUUUAUUAUCUUAUUUGUUGUUUUGGUGUAAAAGUAUAAGUUACAAUAUUUAUUAUAUUUUUGAGAAAAAUUAUAUAAUUUAUUUGUUAUCAAUACAUUUUAACCUUCAAUUUUCAUUCUAAAAAAUUAUUACUUUUUAAUUGAUGAGUUUUAGAAUUCAUGACAGAUCUAGAGCAGAUUUGGAUUUUAAUUUUUUUUUUCAGAUUUGGAGCAGAUAUAAAUAUUUAUUUCUUUUAUGGAUAUGGAUAUGGAGCGAAAAAUAUAGAUUCAUGAUGGAUCUGGAGCAGAUACGGAUCUUGAUUUUUAUUAUGGAUUUGGAUCUGGAGCAGAGUAGAUCCAACCCAUAUCUGCCCCAUUGCCAUCCCUACGGCUACUGUUAAUCAUAUGUUUUAGUUCUGUAACUUUUAAGUUAUAGUUACCCAAUCUCAAUUCUAAACCAGACCUAUAAAGAUCAAAGAUUUCCUCAUUAAAUUAUAUGUCUUGUGAUUGCUUAUUUAAUUUAUAUUUUUUUUUAUUUAUCUUUAUUAAUUAUAAUCAUCUUUUUAUAAAUUAAAAUUGAAGGAAGUUGAUUGAUGUUGUUGACACACGCACACACGCACACACUCACAAAGAUAUAUUGGAAGUGCUUACGUCGACUCGAAGUUGUUGGGAAUUAAUGCAUGUAUUGAUUUAUUGGGAGUGUUUAAAUGAUUUUUUGAUUUACUUGAUUUAUUGAUUGAAUAUUGUUUGAUUGCUUCAUAUCCAUUCUAGAAAGUUUAUUUCUUUGUGAAAUUUCAACGAAAUAUGUUUUUUUUUUUAAAUAAGGGUGUUCUAAAUAAUUUAAAAAUAUAUAUGGACUAAUUAGAAUUAAUUAUUAGGUAAUUAACUCAAUCUGUAUAGGGUGAAACAACAUUUAUCCUAAUUAUAUCAUGAUAAAUACUUUUCCUAUUAGAAUUAGGAAAUCAUAGGUUUAUUGAAUUGUUUUUUUUUUUCCUUUGCGGAAACGGAUUAGAGAAUUAGAAAACAAUCAUGUUGAUGUCAAAAUCUGAUCUAGUCGGUUAGCGACUUAAUAUCAUAUUACUGCACCAACAUUAAAUUUAUUGGGUGGAGAAUCGACUGGUCAAUUGUCAAGAUGUCCUGCAAUCACUAGCGAUUAACCUACGAAUACCUAAAAUCACAGAAGACGGUAAGAGGCACCGGAAGUUUUUUCGGCGUGAACCUUCCGACGCUCAAGUCAGUUUAUAGGUUUACCAUAAUAAAAAUAAAUAAUUUCUAUUUAAAAAAAAAUAGAGUUCAAAAGCUCAAAAAUAAAACCCAAUCCCAAUAUGAAAAUGAAUUUUUUUUUUUUUUUUUCUAGCUUGGCCGAAUCCUUCUGCCUCCUAAAGAAACAUAACAGAGAAGCAGGUAGCCAUGUUCCCUAGGUAACGCCCCACUCCCCUCUUUUAUUCCUCCCCCUCUCUUCCGUUUCCUUCUUUUGCUCACUAUCCUUCAUAAUUUUUUAUGCUUGUCUUCCCAAAAUAGCCUUUUAAUACACAAGUAAAUGUCUAGGCUUUGGUGAGGAUAGUUUGGUCAUUGCAUUUUACAAGUAAGAUGAGUGGUGGAGAAAAAUGAGGAGUGCACAUAUAACGCUUCAGCAAAUCCCACCAGCAAUUCCAUUUUCUUAAUUAAUUAAUCUCUUCAGCAAAUCCCACCAACUCUUCAGCAAAUCCUAAUGAUAUUAUUAUCAGGUUUAAAACAGUACACAAAUAGUGAAAAGCUAACUAGUCUGUAGAGUAAUUUGCUAAUUGCUAUCUCCUCUCUCCGCGCGCUGAAUAAUUUGUUGCAUGCAAACUUUUUAUUUUAUGCAAAUCGUACGUACUGUAACAUUGGAAUUGAUGUAAAAGCAAAAAUACAAGAAUAUUUAUGUCAAUAAAAAUAGUUUUUUUGGCCUUUUUAAAUAAACACAACGCGAUAUUGCUCUGCUCUACAUUUUUGCUAUCUCUUUAUUCUUCUUUUUUUUUUUGGGCUUCUUAAAGCCUCAAACUUUGAUAACCAAAACUUCAUCGACCUAUGAAAAAAUCUGCAGAUUAGUUUUUAUUAUCGGAAUAAUCAUUUGAGAAUACUAAAACAAAAUAUAAAUAAGAAAAUAGGAGGUUAAAUUAGAGGGGGGAAAAAAGGUAUGUUGGAUAGAUUACUAUAGUUUAAGAAAAAAAAAUCCAAUUGGGAAUUUUUUUCUUUAAUUUUUGUUUUACUUGAUUGAGAUUUCUCCUUGGUCCUUACAGUUUUAAGUUUGGAUGCCGUAGGGUUAGUAAUUUAGUACUUCCUUUGCAAGCUGAGUGCAAGAAUGAAAAUCUUUAAAGAAAUAAAAAAAAAAAAAAAAAGCAUACCAAUAGGUAAUUAUAAAUAACCAUACAUAAACAUAAACAAAAUGAGGUAAUUAUUAAUAUUAUUUUUUGUUUUAUUUCUUACUUGUCUAUUUUAUUUGCUGCUUGAUAACCCGUAAAUACUAAUCUAGUACUGCUAAUUUCAGACACAAAAUUUUUAACUCUAGGCUGCAGUUUUACUCAAAAUGAUGACCACUGGCUUCGCACCAUUUAACCGGCAUACAUUUCUACAAAUUGAACAAGGCUAUUGAUUUUCAUUAUUAUUUUUUAUUUUUUUAUAAAUUACUAUUUUAAUUUUCACUUUUCAUUGGGUUGUUUAACGGAUUAGUGAAGUUGGUGGUCGUGAUGCACUCACAAGGUACAAUUUUAUUUUAUAAUUUCAAAUUUGUAUUUUAAAAUGCAGGUACAUUAUGUAUACAUAAUUAUUGAUUUUCGUAUGUGGGUGUUUUGAAAUAUUGCUAAAAGACCAAACUUUAAUAAACUAUUUUUCAUCUUUUUUUUUUCCUAAAGUUUAAGUGAUAUCCGCAUUUUAAAUUCAUGUGGAACAAAAGCUAAUGUAUGCACAAAAUCCUUUUAUUUUUUCCGAGAAAAAUGGUUAAGAGAAGAAGAUUUUUCUCUUGAAAAAGAAAAACUAAUACGAUGCAAGCAUAGGAAAGAGGUCAGUGUUUUGGAUUAGAAUUUAGUAUUGAGCUGAAUUUUAUACUAAACUCUUUUAUAGUACUGCGAUUAAUAAACUCAUGAUUUGCUUUUGCUUUUACCUCAAGUGAAAGAAAGAGGAAACCUUUUGUUUUUUGUUUGAUUCUUGACUAUAGGUGUUACCUAUAUAGAGAGUUGAGGUAGCUGCCUUAAGUGAUGGUGAUAAAAAGAUUAAGCAGCGCACACAAUCUUACUGUCGUCCAGACCAUCCAGCUGUGAUGACUCUUGUUUUUUGGUUACAUUAGCUUUAGUGGAACGGAGGGCCAAUUUAACAAAGACUAGAUUUGGUGGCUUACUAUAAUGCUUAUUCUCAGGGAAUCUAAUGUUAUAAGAUGAUUUAAUGAUCUUCUAUGAUUGUGAGUAGUAUAGUAUAAUUGAAAAGAGCUUGGGCUCCUAUGAUGAAUAUUUAAUAGUAACACAGUACUGUUAUUGAAAAAAACACAGUUACAAUAAACUCUUCAUUUAUUCAUUGUGGAGAUUGAAUGGCAAACAGAGAAUAAAAUGAAGCAGAGGAAUCUCAUUGCCAGUAAAAUUGACCCUCUUUAAUGUUAUAUGGCACAGGUGUGUGUACAGCAAGAUCAAGUUACUUGCAGUUUUUAUUGUAAAAUAUAUAGGUUAUGACCAUGAUCAUUGUAGUUAGGUUUUGAUGAUUUUAGAUGCUUUUUUUAUUUUUUUUAAAAUUGUGACACCUUUGAUUUAUGGUAGUUUUGCAGAAGAAAAAAAUAUAUAUAAAAAUUAGGAGGGAUGAGUUAACUAACGAUUGCAAUCAUUACAGUAAUGUUGAUGAGUGAUACAUCAUUUGAAAUUUACUUGUCAGUUGCUGAAAUGAUGAAAAAAAACAGUAAACAAUAGCAGUAAUAUUUUUUGGCAAUAUAAAAAAUUAUUGCGGUUAUUUUUUGGCAAUAUAAAAAAAUUUUAGCAAAUAAAAAUUAAUUUUUUUCCGAUUAACUAAAAAAUUAAUUAAAAACUUCUGCGAUGGCAUUUUUUAUGGGUGCAUAUACCCUCCCUUUAAAAGAAAAAAUAAUAAUUAAUACUUAAUAUAGUAUUAAAUACGAAAAUAUCAAUAUUUGACUACACAAAUUUAAUAGUCUUGUGUAAUUAGUGAGUGAGAGAUUGGGUGUAUUGGAGUUUUGGGUAGUGAGCCAAAAUAUUACAAUACUUGUAAUCUUUAUUUCACUAGUGAAAUAUUUUCCUUCUGUUUUUGCCCGUGGACGUAGGCUAAAAGCCGAACCACGUAAUUUCUGGUGUCCUCUAUUGUACUUGUUCUUUAUUUGCUUCCAAUUUUAUUUUAACUGCGCGUCUGCUUCACCCAUCAAUUUCCUAACAAAUCUUGAUCCCAUGCACACGCAAAUAUGUUAAUUUCUAUACGCUUCACUUACCUGUAGAAUCAAUUAUCUAAAAUGCAAGUUUGUGGCCACAAAAAAAGCCAAAGAAAGAAGAUAAUAACAAUUGACUUGUAUAUUAUACUCAUACAAUCCACUCGACAUAAUGAUAUCAUUUUAAUAAGGCAAUGGCUGAUGAUCUCCAUUGAAAAACUAAUUCAAUUUUUUUGCUUCAUUUAACUUUUUGGUUGUUGAAAAUAACCUUAAUUAUCAAAUAAUUGGAGAAAGAGUAAAGAACAUUUAACAAAUUUAUGUGCAAAAAAAAAAAAAAAGAAGUUGAAGAGAAAGGGUGCUUGCAGAAGUGGGUGUCAAAGAAACAUCGGUCCAUAAGAAUUAUUGCGGUUAUUUUUUGGCAAUAUAAAAUAUUUAUAGCAAGUAAAAAUUAAAUUUUUUCCGAUUUACUAAAAAAUUAACUAAAAACUUCUGCCACAACAUUUUUUAUGGGUACAUAUACCCUCCCUUUAAAAAAAAAAUAAUAAUUAAUGCUUAAUAUAGUAUUAAAUACCAAAAUAUCAAUAUUUGGCUACUCAAAUUUAUAUCAUUAGGUCCUUAAAAUUAAAAAUUGAUGAUACAAAAGGAAAUAUAUAUAAAUUUCAUUCUCAUGGAAAGGAUUCUCUUAUAAUCUUAUAAUAUUUGAGUUUUGAAAUUUUUUGAAGCAAAUGUAAUUUUAUUUGUGUACAAUCAAUAUUUACUUAUUUAUUAUAUUUUAAUUUGUUAACUAUCAAUCAUUUAAGUAUAUUUAGUCAGAAAAAUUAUAUCAAGAGAGAAUCCUAAUUUCACGCAAACACAAAUACAAGAUAAAUAUGUCAAUUUCUAUACUAUCCACUUUCCUGUAGAAUCAAUUAUCUAAAAUGCAAGUUUGUGGCUACCGAAAACUCGCCAAAGAAAGAAGAUAAUAACAAUUGAGCAUUGAUAGCAAAACUAAUGCAUCAUUUUCUUCUUGACUUGAUGAGAUGGUGCCAUUACAAAAAAAAAAGUACCUUAAUUGACGGGCACUGAGUGAUGUGAAUACUACCAGCCAGUUCAUCUCUUCCAGUCUUGCUUAAUCACAAUCACAAACACCACGAGAUUGACAUUUGCAUUAUAUAUAUCUUCAGCAAUCGAAACACCUUGCAUUACCAAAUUAACCGGUAACAAACAAAGCAAUCUUUCAUGGAGAGAAACUUUAGUCUCAGUAUGAUCACUUUGUCAUUAACCCACUACCUGCUUCUUUGCUUGGUUGUUGCAGCAGCAGCAGCCGCAAGCAACAAUAUUACCACAGACCAACAAGCUCUUCUUGCCCUGAAAGAUCAUAUAACUUAUGAUCCAACCAACCUUUUUGCCCAUAAUUGGACCUCGAAUACCUCUGUUUGUACCUGGAUUGGCAUCACUUGUGAUGUCAAUAGCCAUAGAGUCACAGCCUUAGAUAUUUCUCAAUUCAAUCUACAAGGCACCAUCCCUCCUCAACUUGGAAACCUUUCUUCACUUACAACGCUUAAUCUUAGUCAUAACAAGCUUUCUGGAGACGUUCCAUCCUCCAUCUACACCAUGCAUUCGCUAAAAUUUCUUGACUUCACUGAUAACCAGCUCUCUGGUUCAGUGUCUUCCUUCGUCUUCAACAUGUCUUCAAUAUUAGAAAUUCUUUUGACCAAUAACAGAUUUUCUGGUGAGCUUCCGAAAAAUAUUUGCAACUAUCUUCCUUAUUUGAAAGCCCUUUUCUUAAACAAAAACAUGUUUCAUGGCAAAAUUCCUUCUGCUUUAUCAAAGUGCAAACAACUGCAAAAAUUAAAUUUGCAGUUCAAUAAUUUAUCCGGUGCAAUACCGAAAGAAAUCGGCAACUUGACUAUGCUCAAAGGCAUAUAUCUCGAAUACAACAAACUCCACGGUAUGUUCAUAAUACUAUGUAAAUGUUUUAAUUUCUCAAUUGUUAUUUUCUUGAAUACUUUAGACAAGAUCUUGUAAGGGAGAUAUUUUUGGAUCUGUGUUAAUUUGCCAGGUGAGAUACCCCACGAAAUCGCUAAUCUUCGAAAUCUAGAGGAUUUAUUGCUUGGAAUGAACAACCUAGUUGGUGUGUUACCAGCUCCAAUCUUCAACAUGUCAACACUGAAAUUAUUUGACCUCAUAAAUAACUCUCUCUCCGGAAGUCUUCCAUCAAGAAUAGACCUUUCACUUCCAACUGUUGAGUUUUUUGGCUUGGCACUUAAUAGAUUUUCUGGAACCAUUCCUAGUUCCAUCACCAAUGCUUCUAAGCUCACCGUUCUAGCGUUGGGAGAGAACACAUUUUCGGGCUUCAUUCCAAACACAAUUGGUAAUUUAAGAAACCUUGAGUGGCUCAGCUUGGAGAAUAAUUACUUGAAAUCUUCAACCUCAAAAUUGAGCUUUCUUUCCUCUUUGGCAAAUUGCAAGAAAUUAAGAUUCUUAAACUUAGCAGGCAAUCCACUUGACGGCUUCCUUCCAAGUUCAAUAGGUAAUCUUUCUGUGUCUUUGGAAACACUUUUCAUCGGCAAUUGCAGUAUUAGUGGCAACAUUCCUCAAGCAAUUAGCAAUUUAAGCAACUUGUUGACCUUAGUAUUAGAAGGCAAUAAAUUGACUGGACCAAUUCCAAUUACAUUUGGCCGACUACAGAAACUCCAAGGCUUAGAUCUUGCAUUCAAUAAGUUGGUAGGUUCAUUCCCAGAUGAGCUUUGCCAUCUAGCAAGGCUGGAUCAAUUGGUCUUAUUUGGCAAUAAGCUUUCAGGAUCUAUACCUUCAUGCCUAAGUAAUCUCACUUCUCUAAGAUCUCUCUACUUAGGGUCCAAUAGGUUAACUUCUGUUAUUCCCUCAACUUUCUGGAGCCUAAAAUACAUCUUGUUCUUUGACUUUUCAUCAAAUUUCUUGGUUGGUACUCUUUCUUUCGACAUAGGUAAUUUGAAGGUGCUUCUAGGAAUAAAUUUAUCAGAAAAUAACUUAUCGGGUGAUAUGCCAGCCACAAUUGGAGGACUGAAAGAUCUUCAAUUUAUGGACCUAGCAUUUAAUAGAUUGGAAGGCCCAAUUCCUGAAUCAUUUGGUGACUUGACAAGUUUGGAGGUUUUGAAUUUGUCAAAAAAUAAAAUCUCUGGGUCUAUUCCAACAUCCAUGGAGAAACUCAUUUACCUUCGAGAGUUAAAUCUCUCUUUCAAUAAACUUGAAGGUGAGAUUCCUAGUGGAGGAAUUUUUACCAACUUCACAGCUGAGUCAUUUAUGGGAAAUGAGUUAUUGUGUGGUUUACCAAAUCUUCAAGUCCAACCAUGCAAACUUAGCAAGCCUAGGACAGAACAUAAAUCAAGGAAAAAGAUACUUCUCAUUGUGAUUGUUUUGCCAUUGAGUAUUGCUCUAACGAUAGCAAUCACUCUAGCUCUCAAAUCUAAGCUGAUCGAAUGUAGAAAAAGAGGCACAGAGUUAUCAAAUGAUAGUAUCUUGUCAUCAGAAGCAACACUAAGAAGAUUUUUAUACUUAGAACUUUUACAAGCAACAGAUAAUUUUGCUGAAAACAACAUAAUUGGCAGAGGAGGUUUUGGUUCCGUUUAUGGAGCAAGACUUGAAGAUGGGAUGAAGAUUGCAAUAAAAGUGUUUCACCAGCAAUGUGCAAGCGCAUUGAAGAGUUUUGAGGCUGAAUGUGAAGUGUUAAAAAAUAUUCACCAUCGAAACCUUAUCAAAGUUAUCAGCAGUUGCUCGAACGAUGACUUCAAAGCAUUAGUCCUAGAAUACAUGUCCAACGGGAGCUUGGAGGAUUGGCUGCAUUCUAGCAAUUAUGUGCUGAAUAUAUUUCAGAGGUUGAACAUAAUGAUUGACGUUGCAUCAGCUUUAGAAUAUCUCCACUUCGAUCAUUCAACUGCUAUUAUUCAUUGUGACUUAAAGCCUAGUAAUGUAUUGUUGGACGAAAAUAUGGUUGCUCAUUUGAGUGAUUUUGGCAUAGCAAAGCUUUUAAGUGGAGAGGAUGAGUCUACGAUACGAACAAAAACCCUUGCCACUCUAGGUUAUAUGGCACCAGGUUUGCUUCAAACAACUUUCGUUUUUAGUUCAUUUUAAAUUUUCCAACUUAUUGAUUUUUACAAUCCUCACAUCAAAAUGUUAUUGAUUAUUUAUCUAAUUGUGAAAUUAAUUUGAUUCAUAGAGUAUGGCAUAGGAGGAGAAGUAUCUACAAAAAGUGAUGUUUAUAGCUAUGGGAUUAUGUUGAUGGAAACUUUUACCAAGAAAAAACCCACAGAUGAAAUUUUUGUUGGAGAAUUGAGCUUAAAGCGUUGGGUUAAUGACUUGCUUCCUAAUUCAUUAGUGGAAGUUGUGGACAAAACUCUGCUAAGUGGAGAGGAAAAACAUUCUGCAGCAAAGGAGCAAUGUCUGUUGUCUAUCUUUAGUUUGGCUCUGGAGUGUACAAUGGAAUCACCGGAAAAGAGGAUUAAUGCAAAAGAUAUUGUUACCGGAUUACUCAAGAUAAGAGACACAUUGAGUAAAAGGAUAGGAAAUUUAAGUUAAUUUCGUUUGCUUUCAUUGAUAGUUAAUUCGAAUUCAUGUAAUAAGUGUAAGAACCUUAUAUCUUUUACUUUGAUUUUUUUUUUCUUGAGAAAACUGUUGUAGUCAUCUUGUUUCCAUGGGCGGAGUUGAUUUAGUUCUUCCAAGAAAUGCUACUGAUGACAUUUGUUUUAUACUUUCUCUUUUUUUUUGCAUGUGUUUAGGUAGAAUAGUGGUUUGGUUGCACUCUAAGAAGUCUAACUACACUAAAAGAAUAUGAUUUAAUUUAUUAAACAAAACUUCAAGUUCAAGAAAAGUAUCUCAUUGCCCCCAAUGCUUUGGACACCUAUUGGUAGGUUUGUACGUGUCCUCAACUUUUUUUUGGAGCACAAAAUUCGAGUCCCAUAAAGGCUCAAACAUUCCUUUCCUUCAUCCCGAGGGCGCCUUCUGUCCUCUGUUUUCUGUUUCCACACACAAAUAGCAAAAAGAAAUUAGAAUGACAACUGGGACAUAUAUAAGAGUGAAAUAAUUAAAAAAAUUAUGCUUUUUUGUCUGUCGUGUUAAAAUCGUAAGUACCGAAGUACUGUGAAAGAGAUUAAUUUACAGAAACUGAAGCCAAGGGUUCAAAAAAAACUAUUGAUGUAGGUAGAAUGCAAUGUCAUAUUCAUACAGAGAUGAAGUAUAUUAUUUACGGCUGGUAAGGACUAAGAAUUGAUGUAGCUAGAAUGCAAAGAUGAUGAGGUAUGUUGUACACUAUUGUUUUUAUUCUACAAUCAAUCUUGACCCCUGAUGCUUGGCUCUCAAUCUUGUCCAUUGAUCUUCUCUGAUUUUGGAGACUUGAAGACCUUUCAGUAUCAUGCCUUGUUGUUGGUGUCUUCCGUGCUGUAGAAUUCAUAUACAAGUUUUCCCGCCGACUUGCCAAGUAUUUGUUCAUUGAUGCAUUUUAUCAAACAGUUGGCCUGCUCAGAGCAAACAGCUCCUGUUUUAACUCCCCCUCCGUAGCUCAACUAUCUGGGAAGACAAUUAAUUGAGCUUGUUUCACAAUUAUAUGAAUCUGAAAGUUCAAUUAUAUCCUCUAAUGGAGAGAACUCAUUGCCUCAGUAUGAUCACUGUGUCAUCAACCCACUCCCCGCUUCUUUGCUUGGUUGUUGCAGCAAGCAACAAUUUUACCACAGAUCAACAAUAGUUUGUCCAUUUGUUCCAGUGAGGUCGUCAUUAAAAAUUAAUUUUCAUAUUGAUUUUCUUAAUUAUAAAUAAUACUAAUGAUAUUUCAUAGUUAUAAAUAUAUUAGAAUUAAUCGAAAUCAUUUUUUAGUGCGGCAUGGCUAAAACUACCUUUUUUUUUUUUAAGUAAUUACUACUUCAAGGAAAAUACUCCUAUUUUCAAGGAAAAGUCAAGUACCCGUAGUUGUGAAGACUCGAGCUCACCCUCUUAUGAUAAAUCUUCUUAUCAAUUACAUAAAUAUCCUCUAAAUUUUUAGUUAACUAUUCAAAAUUCGAUGUUAUACGGGUAUUUCAUUUAUUUGAGUAGGGGUUCGGGGUCAAUUGGAUACAAAUUCAAAAUUAUCCUUACUUGAGAAGGUGAUAAAAAUUGGGGAUUUAGUUUGGAUGCAUUAGCUACAAAUAUUAAACUCAUACAUCUAAUUCAAAAUUAGAGGGCUGAUAUAUGUGCAUCCUCGUGCACAUUAUAGUGACACGUGUCACCAUCCUACAACCUAUCCAAUGAAAAAUUGACAUGCAUCUUGUGCGCUUCUGAUCAAAAUCCUGAAAAUUAAUCACAAAGUUAUACUUUUAUUAUAAAAAGAAUAAAGAAACUCCAAAAAAAAAAAAAGACUUACAUAUAUAAAUAGUUUGAAUAAUCUAGAUUCCAAGUUGUCUAUAUUAGCUUGAUCUUUUUAUAAAUAGUCAUCUUCGAAAAAAAAUUCCACCAACAUAUAUUUUAAUUUUAUGUUAAUUAAUAAAUAGAAAAAAAUCAUUUUAGAAUUAAUUAAAACAUUAUUUAUUGUUGCCAAAAAAAGGAAGAAUUUAGUGAUAAGAAAAAAGUGUCUCAAAUAUACGUUAAAAAAAUUAAUCAUGGUGGGUUCGAUUGAUUGAAUUUUUUUUUUUAAUCUUUUUCUUUUUUAAGAAUUAAGACAAUUGGAUUGAUUGAGUAAUAAUAAAAUAUAUUUAUUUGGCAAAUGGCAGGUAGGCUUUCUUCUGAUGCAGAUUGAUUAUAGAGAAUAUACAACAAUUUUAAGCUCGUCAGAUUCGGAACCUGCUUAUCUGUCGUGUGGGGAUCACUUCCGUGUCUUAUUUUUCUAGAAAAAUCUGGACCAUUAGGCAGUAGAGAAAUGUUGAUCUUGAUUCCUGAUCAGGAUCGAAGUUUGAUUCUAUCUAACAUGAUAUCAGAUUGCGAAGCAGGCUAGUAUGUAAAUUUCUUUUAUCUUUUAGAGGAAAAUGGGCAAGAGAAGAAGAUUUGGCAAAGGAAUUGCAACCGCAUUUCUAGUAUGUUCUGAUCAGAGAAGCGAAAUCCAUCACGGUCUUUUAUCUUUACCCAUGUGGAGAAAUCAAGGGAUUUCGAAUCAGAGAAGCGAUGGGAUUUAGUUCUGAUCUGGGAUUUUGGAGACUUAGGGAGUGUGCGGUCUUGGACCAACAUUGAUGACGAUGACGCUUCAAAUUCAAUGACUUGAAAGCAGAAAACAAAGACAGACAAAAACAGACAUGCACUACAGCAAGAAAGAUUGACUGAAUCUUGGGUUACUGUGUCUGUGGUCUCAAAUGAAACACAAGUGGGAAGCCUUGCUGCAGUUUCAGCUUUGGUUUGUGUUUGAAGUUUUGAAUGUAAAAAGAGAACCGAGCAUGUGGUUGCCGACAAGAAUGGCCUGAGGUUUCUUAAGCUUCAUUGUAAUGUUACAACUGCUACUAAUUUGGUGGGGUGGGAGGUCGCUGGGUCGCUGUCAGUCCAUUUGCUUCUUUUCUUUCUUUUUGUUAUUUGUUGAGUUUUUUCCAUUUCUACUUUUCUUAAUAUAUAAAUUAUCAUUUUUUUAACAUGCAAAAUAUAUAGAACAUUUUAUGAGUUUAUAAAUAAAAAUUAUAUUAUGGGAUAAUAGUGAAUGAGUUCCUGGUGCUUUGGAGUUCUUUAAAUUAAGGGCCCAGUUUGUCCAUUUGUUUUAGUUAGGUCCUUCUUAAAAAUUGAUUUUCUUAAUUAUAACUAAUACUAAUGAUAUUUCAUAGUUAUAAAUAUAUUAGAAUUAAUCCAAAAUAUUUUUUAGCGUGGCAUGGCUAAAACUACCUUUUUCUAUAAGUAAUCACUACUUUUGCAUUAAGGAAAAUAUUCCUAUUUAAAAAAAAAUUGAAUAUCUAUAGUUGUGAGGACUCGAACUCACUCGCUUAUGAUAAAUCUUUGUUGAUGCGAGAUUCUGGUUACCCACUCGACCACGUCCAGGAUCUCUGCUCAAUCAACUAACUCGACCACGAUCAGGAUCUCUCCUCGUAUGCUUUCUUCUUCAAAAAUUCCUGCGUACACAGAAACAAGUCAGAGCACGCCAGUUGUUUUCCCGGCGUAAACCCUCCGACGCUCAAGUCAGAUAUGAAGGUUUUGUGUUCCUGGGAACGUUAGCCACUAGUCUUAAGCUUUGCUUUUGGUAUCGAUUGCUGAAUGCUCUCUUUAUCUCAAUUUCCGUAUUAAAAGUUAACCCUUUUACCUUCGUUGGCUGCCUUUUUAUAGGCUCCACCUGAGUCCAGAUCCUCCCCUCCAUUCACGCCCGUUACCUUCCCACCUCUCGAAAGUGGAUGCUUUGUUUCCGUAAUCGUGGGUGAUUGCAUGGCCUUCGUGCCUCGAUUCUCAGGCUGGAGAGUACGUCUCGCCAACUGUCGUUGACUGGGUCUCCUCGCCUCAAACCUUAGCAGGAAUGGCUUUAUGCUUCUAACAAGAGACCGGCUUCGCGGAUGGCGUAUUCAUGGACGAGCAGAUAUUCCUGCUUAUGUUCCAAUGCUACCAGACCUCUGCUCAUCACGGCUGGUCUCGUCGAAGUACAUCCCCCAAACACCGGUCCCCCAGUUUCUGGUGUUGGGUAACAUAGUGAGCCAACAGUAGAAACUCGACAGUUCUUGCUCGCGCGAGAUAGGAAAAGACUGCCAAGAGUCGUGUCGCAUUUAAUGGCGGAUGAGGUGAUGUGGCAGAAAUCUACCCCUCCAUUUGAAUUUCAAACCGACGGUUACGAAACCCUAGGGAUUUGUGCCGUUAAAUGCCGGCAGCCCAAGAGUUUGUUCUUCAUUAGGAAAACCCAAAACCCCCAAAAGAGGAACUCGUCUUUUACUCCGUUUCUGUCUCUCCUGCGAAUGAGUCCUUCCUCUCCCUCGGCGUAAAAGCUUCCUUCCUUGUCUCUCUCCGACUAAGUCACAACUUCAGGUACUAUUUCUUUUUUCCUCGGUCGUGGAUAGUUGUAAACAAUUUCUUUUACAUUUUGCUUGGGUAGUGUUUGGUGGUGCAGUUCUGGUUAUAGUUUAGGGAAUGUCGAAAGGUAAGGAGAAAGUCAUUGAGAUUGAUGACGACGAGUUAGACUUCUUGCCUAGUCUGCUCGCCGAUUCUGCUUUCGACACCGGGAUCCCCUUAGAACCCGUUAGACCUAAUGUUGCGACUAGUGCUAGGAGGAUGUCCCCCCAAGUAACCUCCUCAACUGGAAAUAGCGACGACGAGGGUUCUUCUGGUUCGGAAGACACUUUGAGUGAAGAUCAGGGAAAUGAUUCUGGUGAGAUGUCCUCACCAGGAACAUCGUGACCAGAUAGGAGGGGCAUAGUAGGAGGUAGAGCUCUAUCACAGAAUUACACUAUUGAUUUUAUGACGUGCACGACCACAGUAGAUGAGCUAGUUAGUCUCCGGGCUAGAUACGGCAUCCCUGAUGAAAUUUCCCUUAGGAUCCCAGGAAAAAAAGAUACCCCCAGCCGGCCUCCUAGGGGAUAUAUUACUCUGUUUCUAGAGAGUUUUAAACUUGGGCUAAGGUACCCCAUACAACCCUACUUUGCCCGAAUACUCAAUGGGUUGAAUUUAGCUCCUGGUCAACUGAACCCCAAUGGGUGGUGAGUACUUUCUGGUCUGUUCAUAUUGUGAGACAGAUGUUGCCAAAGCGAGCCAACAAUUGACGAGGUGAAGCACCUGUACCAGCUAAAGAGCAGCCCCAAAGAUGUCGGCUGGUAUUACUUCCAGUCUAGUACCAAGACCAGGAAACCCAUAACCGAUCUUCCAACUGGUGGUGGUAGGACUUGGAAGAAAAAAUUCUUUUUUGCUGGGGGUCCCUGGGGUCAAGUUGCACAGAUUGACGAGAAGGAUUACCGUGUCCCACCUCAUUUCGUGGUCCCAGGUUGCCUACUCGCUUAAGAUGUUUUGUCUCCAUAGUCGUUCUCAUUUUGCUGAUUUGUUUCUAAUCCAAAAUCUGUUCGCAUUGCAGGUUCCUGGGGUGUGCACUACCAGCUUAAACCCGAGCCGCUCAAGCGAGUCGAAGCUGUACUGGCCAAUUUCUACACGAACCGAGAGCUGCUAACUACUUUCAAUUUGGUCGAAUCUCGUUUGGUGUCUACCGGCCAUAAAAUGGAGGAUGCUGUGAUCGGGGCUCUGACUCGGAAACGUCCCCAACCUCAUGCUACCAAGCAGGACCAGAAUAAAUAUGCUCCCACUGCGAAGCGGGUGAACAUUGUGCAGCAGGUUCCUCCCUUGAAGACCCUACCACCUCCUUCUGCCAAAGUCGGAGAAACUAGCGGAGCAGCCACCGAUCCCGCUUCCUCUUAUCCUCCAGUCGGGCCGAGAUCUCGUUUAUCUGACAAUCGAGCAAAACAUUUGGUCCCCUAUAUCAACGAGUUCUCUAAACUCGUGAGCAAGAGGGACCUAGAGGACUUUGACGACAGCACCUUGGGUGAGCUGGUGGGGGCCAUGCAAUAUAGCGCUUUCCAUCUCGACUGUAUGGCCACUUACUACAAGGCCAAGGUUGGUCGUUAUGACCGAAAGAUGAAGGAGGACAUUCAAUCGGCCAUGAUCAAAGCUGAUGCUGCCGAGAAGAAAGCAGGGGACUUGAAUCUCGAGAAUUUGAAGUUGAUAGAGCGAGAAUCUCUUGCUCAAGCAAAAGCCAUUACUCUCGAGGAUGAGCUAGCUAAGGUCAAGGAGGAUCUGCAAAGACAGCAGGCUAUGUACGAGGCCCAGCUCGAAUCUCUUCGGGAUUCCCACAAGGUUUAGGUCGAGAACCUGGAGAAGGAAGCUGAUAAUCAAUAUGACCAGGGGCUUCAGCACUCCUAUCAUUGCAUCAUGGCCGUCCUUGGGAAGCAGCAUCCGGAUAUGAAAAUGGACGAGCUUGCUACUGGUGUUGCUCAGCAUAUGGAUGAGGAGGCAGCAAAAGAGGACGCCGAAGAGGUGGAGCCAACUGAGGUUGAGGAGGGAAACACUCCUCCUCGUGCAAUCCUUGCUGAUGUCGCUGAGGCGAGUACCCCCCGAAUGCAACUGGUGAUACCCCCUGCCCCUGAGGUGGACCAGCCAACCAAGGCUGCUCGGCUUACUGACCCGCCGUCCUCUUGAUUGUAUUUUGUGUUGUAGUUGCUUUCUUGAAACGCUAUAUGUUAUGACUAGCAGUUUUUUCUGGUUGUUGAUUAAUAAAUAAGAAUGUUCUCAUUUGCUUUCUCGUCGUAAAUCAUUUUAAGUUUGAGGGUCUACUUGCCUUCUCUUGUACUAGCAGUUCUUGACACGCUUGGCUUCUGGUCUCGCCAUAGAACAUGCUUGUGACUUGGUGAGCCUUUGCAUGCCUUAGAAAUUUUUUCAAUGUUGGGAUUCUGCUCGCCUUCGCUUGGUCGAGCAGAUCUUGGCACGCUUGGCUUUUGGUCUCGCCAUAAAAACAGGCUUUGAAAAUUGGUGAGCCUUUGCAUGCCUUAGAAAUUUUUUCAAUGCUUGGGAUUUUGCUCGCCGUCGCUUGGUCGAGCAGAUCCUGGCACGCUUAGCUUUUGGUCUCGCCAUAAAAUAGGCUUUGAGACUUGGUGAGCCUUUGUAUGCCUUCGAAAUUUUUUCAAUGAUAGGGAUUCUGCUCGUCGUCGCUUGGUCGAGCAGAUCCUGGCACACUUGGCUUCUAGUCUCGCCAUAAAACAGGCUUUGAGACUUGGUGAGCCUUUGCAUGCCUUAGAAAUUUUUUCAAUGCUUGGGAUUCUGCUCGCCGUUGCUUGGUUGAGCAGAUCCUGGCACGCUUGGUUUCUGGUCUCGCCAUAAAACAGGUUUUGAGACUUGGUGAGCCUUUGCAUGCCUUAGAAAUUUUUUGCACAGUUACAAGUGAAUGAAAUUCCUCGACGUUUCAUUAAUUACAGAAUUCAACUUACAUAGGAAUGCAUAGCAACGAGAACAAAUUAAAGUAAUUUUUGAACAUGAGCAAGUCUUACUGGAAAUAUUUCCUGAGGUGCGCUGCGUUCCAUAGGCGUUUCACCUCGUGGCCAUCCGUGCGAACAAGCUUGUAAGCUCCGAGUCCCACUAUCUGCUUGACCCUGUAUAGCCCCUGCCAAUUCGGUCCAAGCACUCCUUGAGUCGAGUCUUUGGUGUUCUGAUUCACUCUCCUUAGCACCCAAUCUCCGACCCUAAACUGCCGUACAUUCACCUUCUGGUUAUAAUACCGAGCAACCCUCUGCUGGUAAAUGGCUAAUCGCUUCGAUGCUUGCUCCCUCUUCUCUACAAGCAAAUUCAGAUUCAAGCACAUCUGCUCGUUGUUAUCUUGCUCAUUGAAAUGAUCUGUCCGGUGCGUGGUCGUUCCUAUCUCGGCUGGUACGACCGCUUCAUGUCCGAAGGCCAAGGCGAACGGUGUUUCUCCAGUUGCUGUUUUGUAGGUUGUCCUGUAUGCCCAUAAAACACAUGAUAGCUCAUCAACCCAUGCUCCAUUUUUUGCUCCAAGCCUGGUUUUCAAAAGCCUCUUGAUCGUCUUGUUGGCUGCUUCUACUUGUCCAUUGGAUUGAGGGUGAGCAAGCGAGCAGUACUUCAACUCUAUCCCGAGGUUCUGGCAGAAAUCCCUGAAACUGUGAUUAUCGAACUGCCUGCCAUUAUCCAUUACCAAGGCAUAGGGGAUCCCGUACCGACAGACCAGGUUUCUCCAUACGAAGUCUGUUGUCUUCUUCUCUGUGAUCUUGCUGAGGGCUUCUACUUCUAUCCACUUCAUGAAGUAGUCUAUUGCUACUAUUCCAUGUGUUGUUGCUCCUCGUCCCCUUGGCAACGGCCCGAUCAGAUCAAUUCCCCACUGAGCAAAUGGCCAAGGGGAGGCUAUAGAGGUGAGCUUCUCUGGUGUUUGGCUGGAGAAACUUGCAAAACUCUGGCAGCUUAAGCAGCUCCUGGUCUUCUCCUGCGCAUCCUGGUGCAUUGUCGGCCAGAAAUAUCCCUGCCUUAGAACCUUAUGGGCAAGGGACCUCCCACCAGAAUGGUUUCCGCAAAUUCCUUCAUGUACUUCUCUCAGUACGUAGUCUGCGUUGUCCUCAUCUAAGCACCGAAGGAACGUGAGUGUAUAUCCUCGCCGAUAUAGCACCCCAUCAAUCAUUGUGUACCUUGAGUCUUGGGCUCUAAUCUUCCGAGCUCGUAGCUUAUCUGGUGGUAACACCCCGUCUCUGAUAUAUGAAAUUAUCGGAUCCAUCCACGAGCCUUUUUGUUCUAUCUGCAUCACCUUCAAAUUCUGCUCGAUGCUAGGGUUGGUUUUCACUUCCAAAGGGACCGUCUUAGGCAUUUUAGGGUCUGCUACAACUGUCAUCCUGGCCAGAAUAUCGGCUCGACUAUUUUGUUCCCUUGGGAUUUGUAUCAACUUAACCGCUUCGAACUUCCUCAUCAUCUGCCUGACUUUCUUCAAGUACUGCUCCAUCUUCUCAUCUCUCGGUUGAAAACUUUCACUGACAUGAUUUGCGACCAGCUGAGAAUAAGUUCUGAUCUUCACCCUAUCUGCUUUCAUUGCCUUAGCCAAUUCCAAACCUGCUAUCAAGGCUUCGUAUUCUGCCUGGUUAUUUGUGGCUGUGAACUCUAACUUUACAGCAUAAGAAAUCUCCUCCCCCUCUGGGUCUUUUAAGACAAUUUCUGCUCCUGAUCCUUGCUCACCUGAUGACCCAUCUACAGACAUCUGCCAUACUCGAGCUUUGCUGCUAUCUGUAGCGGUGUCCAGUUGGUCCAAACAUACUUCAAGCUCCGCGAAUUCUGCUAUGAAAUCGGCCGUUGCCUGAGCCUUUAUUGCUGCUCGGGGUUUGUAAUCUAUGUCGAACUCGCUAAGCUCUAUAGCCCACUUCACGAGCCGACCAGAAGCAUCUGGCUUGUGCAGAGUUUGACGCAAUGGCUGGUUUGUUAUUACCGUGACGGGGAAUGCUUGAAAGUACGGCCUCAGCUUCCGAGCAGCAACCACAAGGGCGAGUGUCCAUUUCUCCACCAAUGGGUAUCUGGUCUCGGCAUCGAGCAGGGUCUUGUUGGUGAAGUAUAUCGGGUACUGAACCCCUUCUUCUUCUCUUACUAGAACAGAACUUGCAGCAUGAUUUGAUACCGCCAAAUAUAAGAACAACCUAUCGUCAUCCCUUAGUGUGGACAGCAAAGGUGCUUGUUGCAAGUACUGCUUCAAGUUCUGGAAGGCUUCUUCACAUUCUGGGGUCCAUUCUGUAUUCUUUCCUCUCCUUAUCACUUGGAAAAAUGGCUGACACUUAUCUGUAGCCUUGGAUAUGAAUCGGCUUAAUGCCGCCAACCUCCCCGUAAGGCUCUGUGUCUCCUUCAGGUUACGAGGUGACCUCAUCUGCACGAUCGCCUGGAUCUUCUCAAGAUUUGCCUCGAUCCUGCUCGAACAUGGGGAUUUGGUUGUAUCCCGAGAAUGCGUCCAUGAAGCUGAGCAAGCCAUGUCCGGCUUUUAAGUCUACAAGCUGGUCAAUCUUUGGUAAUGGAAAGCUGUCUUUCGGGCACGCCUUGUUGAGGCCCGUGAAAUCCACACACAUCCUCCACUUGCCAUUAGCCUUUUUUACUAACACCACAUUCGAUAUCCACUCGGGAUAAUUGACUUCCCGAAUGAACCCUGCUUUCAAGAGCUUCUCCACCUCGCCGUUUAUAGCCUCAUACCUCUCCUGGUUGAAGCACCUCCUUUUCUGCCUUACUGCCCGAGCACCUUUCUUUAUUGCCAGUUUAUGACAUGCGACCUAAGGGUCGAUUCUUGGCAUGUCUUCAUGUGUCCAAGCAAACACAUCUGCAUGAGCCCGCAAGCAUUGCACCAACUCCUGCUUCUGCUAUUCUUUAAGCCUCAACCCAAUUCGGAUCGUUUUUCCCAGAUCCUUUGGUCCUAGGCUCACUGUCUUCAACUCCUCUACAGGUUCUUGUCUACCAGUCUUGGUUCCCACUCGGGUAUCAAGGGAUGUUAUCUGCAUUGCUUCCCUUGCUGACGAGGAGUAAUAGCUUCGUGCGAUUCUCUGGUCUCCUCAUACCACUCCAACUACCCCAUUCACCCGGUACUUGAGAGCUAGAUAAUGGUUGGAUGACACCGCUUUACUCAUCCUCAGAAAUGGUCGACCUAGGAUCAUCUGGUAAGGACCCUCUUCAUCGACUACCAAAAAAUCCAGCAUCAUAGUCCUUUCUGUCGGGGAGCUUCCAAUCGUGAUAGGCAGCUCAACCACGCCCAGGGGGACCAGCUUUCCUCCUCCAAAUCCCUUCAAGGAGGUAUUGGUGUGCUCCAACCUCAGGUCUGUUAUUCUCAUCUCCUCCAGAGUUGACUUAAACAACACAUCAACUGAGCUCCCUGUGUCAACCAGUAUCCGGUCAAACUUCUUGCUGGCGACGGUGGCCUUGAUGACUAAGGCAUCCUUGUGUGGGUAUAGAAUCCCUUAUUCAUCCUCAUCUGUCCACAUGAUUGGCACUUGUCAGACUCUUGCUCGUUUGGCUGCUGGGGUGUUGAAGAACACAUCUUUACUAGUCAUGGCAAAUUUAGCAUAAUUUUUCCUCGAUCUGUUGGAAUCUCCGGCCAACGUUGGACCCCCUAACAAUCACUCUUACUAUAGGCUGCCUGUGGCUCAAGUUCCUGUUACCCUGCUCCUCUUCACAUAUCGGGGCCACCGUCGGAAAAGUCCCAUCGAUAAACUCGUCCAGGUAUCGAUUUCUCACCAAAUCUUUAACCUGGGUCUUAAGGUCUCUUCAUUCUAUUGUGGUAUGGCCAUGAGUACCAUGGAACUUGCAAUAGUGCCCCUAUCCCUUCUGCUGGGUAGCUUUGUUAUUGGGGCUGGGAGGUACAGUAAUCCCCAGUCCUUUAUGGCCUCACAGACUUCGUCCAGUGGGAUAUUCAAGGAAGUAUACUGCCCAUAGUCCUGGUUCUGGUCGAUCAUAUGCACUGCCCUUUCUCUGUUUGUGCCAUUCUGAGUUGGAGGUGGUGGCAGCGCUUCUGGUCUGCUCCCCCUACUACCAUGGGGGUGUGGGUGAAGGUGACCGUAUGUCGCGUCAUGCCUUCUCCUAGGCUCCCUAGCUGGUGAGCGAGAAGGUUGCGCCCUGCUGUGCUGAUACUGUGGUGGCCUCUAAUGAGGUUGGUAAGCGGUUACCCGACCUCUUGUACCACUACCUAAGGCAUGGUGGUCCCUCCUCUUAAUCGGCCCAUUUCCUGGUACGGCUCUCUUCUCUUUCCUCUUUAAUCCUUCCAGCUGGUCUGUCUUAAUCCGUGCCGCCUUUUCCUCCUCUAUUUCUAUGUCUCUCUUAGCCUGCUCGUAAGCAACUGAAUAUGUCUGAAUAACUGGGCUUCUCAAGUUAUAUCACAUCCGUCUUAUCUUCACUCCUUCUUUCAAUCCCCUUAAUGCCUGAGGAUGGUUGAAGGCUCCCAAGUCGAGGACAGCACGGUGGAACCUUUUGAUGAAUUCCCGAAGGGUUUCCUCCUCUCUCUGCUUCAUGCUCGUUAACUCCAUCAUAUCAUCUUCCGGUGCCAUUACCCCACGAAACUGCUCUGCAAAUUCCUGGCACAUCUGCUCGAAGGCUUUAAUGCUCCCUCGAGGAAGUUUCCUGUACCACUCGCGUGCUCGUCCCUCUAGAGAUAGUGGGAACACCCUGCAUCUUUGGGCUUGAGAUAGUCCUUGCACCCCGGUCAUGUUGUUGAAGCGCUCUAUGUGCACCAACGGAUCAGUUCGCCCCAAAUAUCUGAGGUCUGGGAGGCGAAAAUCUCUUGAAAUGACUGCCCUCAUGAUCUCUGCCGAGAGCGGGGUUUCUCCGUCCAGCAUUAUCCUCCAACCAGGUGCUCUACUCCUUCCUUGCAUAUCAUCAAUUACUUGCGCUAGUUUGCGCACUUCCUUCUCUAGCUGCAUUGCACGACCAGGGUCACGUGCUGUAACUUGAUCCCGCUCUUUCUCUACAUCAUGUAAGUAUUGCCUGAGCUCUGUUUCCUCUGCAUUCACCACCCCAUCAUCCUCAUCAAAAAUCUAUCUUCUUGGGGAUUGCUCUUCUUCUCUAUGAAUUCCUCCCCGUAAAGAUAAGUUACCUCUCUCACCACCAAAUCUCCUGGUGGUCUGACUUCUCAUCAUACCAUCGUGCCCUGGUGCCACUCUGCCACCUCUCACCCUUUUCUCAUGGGUUCCCCUUCGUUCACUCCUUAGUUCAUGUAGGAUGGUUGUCAGGGUCUCCAUCUGCUUUUCCAUCCGUUCCAUUCGGUCAUGCAUGGCUUUUUCCCGUGCUUCAAUGGCUAUCUCCCUUAACGUCAUGGAUUCGUUAAGCCUCAUAUCACCUCCUUGUGCACUACUUCCUCCUACAUCCAUUGUUUCUUCUCUUGCUUUGUUUUUCCUUUCUCUGUCAACAGAAGUUUUUUUAUCAGCUCCCUACAGACGGCGCCAAAAUGUUGAUGCGAGAUUCUGGUUACCCACUCGACCACGACCAGGAUCUCUGCUCAAUCAACUAACUCGACCACGAUCAGGAUCUCUCCUCGUAUGCUUUCUUCUUCAAAAAUUCCUGCGUACACAGAAACAAGUCAGAGCACGCUGGUUGUUUUCUCGGCGUAAACCCUCCGAUGCUCAAGUCAAAUAUGAAGGUUUUGUGUUCCUGGGAACAUUAGCCACUAGUCUUAAGCUUUGCUUUUAGUAUCGACUGUUGAAUGCUCUCUUUAUCUCAAUUUCUGUAUUAAAAGUUCUAACCCUUUUACCUUCGUUGGCUGCCUUUUUAUAGGCUCCUCCUGAGUCCAGAUCCUCCCCUCCAUUCACGUCCGUUACCUUCCCACCUCUCGAAAGUGGAUGCUCCGUUUCCGUAAUCGUGGGUGGUUGCAUGGCCUUCGUGCCUCGAUUCUCGGGCUGGAGAGUACGUCUUGCCAACUGUCGUUGAUUGGGUCUCCUCGCUUCAAACCUUAGCAGGACCAUUAUGCUUCUAACAGGAGAUCGGCUUCGCGGAUGGUGUAUUCGUGGACGAGCAGAUAUUCCUGCUUCUGUUCCCAUGCUACCAGACCUCAGCUCAUCACGGCUGGUCUCGUCGAAGUACAUCCCCCAAACAAUCUUCAUAUUAAUUACGAAAAUAUCCUCUAAAUUUUAACUUAACUAUUCAUAAUUCAAUGUCAUUCGGAUAUUUCGUUUAUUUGAGUAGGGAUUAGGGGUCAAUUUGAUACAAAUUCAAAAUUAUCCUCAUUUGCGAAGGUGAUAAAAGUUAGGGAUUUAGUUUGGAUGUCACUAGCCACAAAUAUUAAACGCAUGCAUCUAAUUCAAAAUUAGAGGCAUUAUCGUUAUAUUGACAUGUGUCACCAUCCCACAACCUCUCCAAUGAAAAAUUGACAUGCAUCUUGUGUGCUUCUUAUCAAAAUCCUGAAAAUUAAUCACAAAAGUUAUAUUUUUAUUAUAAAAAGAAGAAAGAAACUCCAUGAGUGAAGAAAAAAAAAAAAGACUUACAUUAAUAGUUUGGAUAAUCUAGAUUUCAAGUUGUCUAUAUUAGCUUGAUAUUUUUAUAAAUAUCAAGAUUUCAAGUUGUCUAUAGUAGCUUGAUAUCUUCUAAAAAAAACUCCAUCAACAUAUAUUUUAAUUUUACGUUAAUUAAUAAAUAGAAAAUCCAUUUUAGAAUUAAUUAAAGCAUUAUUUAUUGUUGCCAAAGAAGGAAGUAUUUAGCGAUAAGAAAAAAGUGUCUCAAAUAUAUGUUUAAAAAAAAAUAAUCAUGGUUGGUUGGACUGAUUGAAUUUUUCUUUUCUUUUUUCUUUUUUAAGAACUAAGACAAUUGGAUUGAUUGAGUAAUAAUAAAAUAUAUUUAUUUGGCAAAUGGCAGGUAGGCUUUCUUCUGGUGCAGAUUGAUUAGAGAGAAUAUAUAACAAUUUUAAGCUCGUAAGAUUCGGAACCUGCUUAUCUGUCGUGUGGGAAUCACUUCCGUGUCUUAUUUUUCUAGAAAAAUCUAGACCAUUGGAUUUACCAUUGGGCAGUAGAGAAAUGUUGAUCUUGAUUCCUGAUCAGGAUCGAAGUUUGAUUCUAUCUAACAUGAUAUCAGAUUGCGAAGCAAGCUAGUUGUGAGUAACUUGUUCUAUUUUGAUGGAAGAAACACAAGUUCUAAUAAAAAAUUCUAAGUAUACAUUUUUUUUUUUAAUUUUUUUAUUGUGAUCAAUAUAACUAGUCAAAUCUAUUUUUAAACAUUUUUUUUAAAUAUUUUGUUAACAAUGAUAUGAAAAUAUUCGAACCCCUCCUCAUAUAGUAAAGUGAAUUACUAUCCAACGAUCCAACUAACGUCUUCAAAUUGUAAAUUGCAAAUCGUGUGUUUGCUCCAUUACAGAGUUUCUUCAAUUUAAAAUAGAGAAUCGUUUGUGUUCUAGAUUAAUCGUGGGUCUAUAUCCAAAUCUAAAAAUUGACUAACUUGAUUUCUAUUAAAUUCUUAACCCUAACAAGAAAAAUAGAAGAUUAAAAAUGACUAAUUUGGUUUCUAUUAAUUUGAGUAACGAUUAAUAUUUAUCAUUCAAUAGUCACUUAUAUUAUCAAAAUCUUGGGUCGAAAAUAUUAGGAUAGGUGAUAAUUGGAAUUAAGUUGUAGAUAAGAUAGAAAUGGAUUUGGAGAGAGAUUGGAAUCCUGGGUAAAUCCGGUACACGUUGGUGUGUUAAAUUCUCGUUGACUUCACGUUGACCGAGGCAUUAUUGGAAGAAACAAGCAAGCUUAUUUUCUUCUCUCAUUUUUAACCUUUGUCUAAAUUUAUUGGUGUGAGGCCUUUGAGAUGGUAAAGUGUUAAAUCUGAGAAGAGUACCCACACUAUUACUCUUAUUUUAUCACGUUUUAUCACAAUAUUACUCUUAUAGUCAAUGUUUGAUUCGCACGAAAAAAAAUUUGCGAGGAUUGUGAGGGUUGAUGCAAUAUAAUUUAGAUGCAAAGUGUUUACAAGUGCGAUGCUUCGUAAGUGUACUCGAAUCAUUAUAAACUCACGUUAUUUUCAUAGUGAUUAUUUCAUUUGCACGUGAAUAUAAUCAUAUAUGUGGAGAAUUUUUUUUCCUAAAUUAUGGUCUUAUUUAGUAUUGAGAUGUUAUAUCUUUUAAAUUAUAAUUAAUAUUAGUAAAAAAACUGCAACUAUAAAAUAAAAGUUAAUAUUAUGUCCUGAAUAUAAUUGUUAAAUAAUAAUUUUGACAAAAUUAGUGAAGACAUACAGAUUUUUUUAUCAUAUAAGUGUAAAAUUCUAUCAACUUAGCUUUUAAGUUAUACAGCAUCUAUUGUUUACCAAAUACUUUAGUGUUGUAACUUUUAAGUUAUAACUGUCUAACCUUUAACCUCAAUCUCAAACGAGGCUUAUAAAGAUCAAGGAUUUCCUCAUAAAAAUUAUUACGUCAUGUGAUUGCUUAUUUAAUUUAUAUUUUCGUCAUUUAUCUUUAUUAAUUAAACAUGCACAUAUUAUUUCCUUUUAUUUUCUGCUUGGUAACCCGUAAAUACUAAUCCAGUACUACUAAUUUCAGACAGAAAAUUUUGAACUCUAGGCUGCAGUUUGACUCAAAAUGAUGGUCACUGGCUUCGCACCAUUUUACCGGUAUACAUUUCUACAAACUGAACAAGGCUAUUGAUUAUUAUUAUUAUUAUUUUAAUUUGUUUAUAAAUUACUAUUUUAAUUUUCACUUUUUAUUGGGUUGUUUAACGGAUUGGUGAAGCUGGUGGUCGUUGAUGCACUCACAAGGUACAAUUUUAUUUUAUAAUUUCAAAUUCGUAUUUUAAAACGCAGGUACAUUAUGUAUAUACAUAAUUAUUGAUUUUCGUAUGAGGGUGUUUUGAAAUAUUGCUAAAAGACCAAACUUUAAUAAACUAUUUUUGAUCUUUUUUUUUUUUCCUAAAGUUUGGGUGAUAUGCGCAUUUUAAAUUCACGUGGAACAAAAGUUAAUGUAUGUAUAAAAAUUCUUUUAUUUUACUGAGCAAAAUAGGCAAGCGAAAAAGUUUUGGCAAAUGAGUUGCAACUGAAUUCAAAACCAAUACAAUGCGAGCAUAGGAAAGAGGCCAGUGUUUAGGAUUUGAAUUUAGGUAGCGUUUACUUUUUGGAUUGGAUUGGGAAUCCUGGGGAGUGGGAAUCCUAGGAUUGAGAGUGUGGAGUGGGAGUGGGAGUAGGUUGUUUACUUACACUGGAAUGGAAGCAUGGAAUGGAGAUCAGAAUCCAAUUUAUGUGUUUACUUUGUCUUGGAUUGGGAGUAAAUAGUUUCAAAUUACAAUUUUAUCCUUAUUUAAAGAAUUAUAAUUUUAAUUACAAAACUAAUAAAAUAUAUAUUUAAUGAAUAAUAUUUAUUUUAUUAUAUUUGUAAAUUUAUUAUAAUUAUUAAUAUUCUUAAUUAUGAACAAUAAAUUAUUAAUUGUAAUUUUAAUAUAAAAUGAAAUGUUAUUUUAUUUAAUAUAAUUAUAUUAAAUUUAUUAUUAUAUAAAAUAAUAAUAUAAUAUUAUUUAGUACAAAAUUAAUAUUUUCUUAGAAUAAAGUAUUUAUUAUUAUUAUUAAAUAAAAUAUAGUACUAUUAUUUUUAAAAUAAAUAUAAUAAUAUUAUAUUUAUUAAUUCUCUAUUAAUAUAAUAAUAUUAUUUUAAAAUAAUUUUAACUUAGAAUCAAUGUAAAUUAUUAUUUAGUUAAAUAUAAUAUUAUUAUUUAAAUAAAUAUAAUAUUAUUAUUUAAAUAAAUAUAAUAUUAUUUAUUUUAUUUUAUUAAUUAUAAAACAUAAAAUAAAAAAAAAAAGGGUAGAAAUGGGAGAGGUGGGAGUGGAUUCCCACUCCCACCUCCCCCAAUGGGAGUCCCACUCCCACUCCCCACUCCAAAAAUGGGUGGGGCCCACGGAGUGGGACUCCCAAUUCCUUCUCAUUUUAAGUAAGUAAACGCUGGAGUGGGAGGAAUCCACACUCCUCACUCCCACUCCAGCAAGUAAACACAACAUUAGUAUUAAGCUGAAUUUUAUGGUAAGCUCUUUUAUAGUACUGUGAUUGAUAAGCUCAGCCCCGGAUUUGCUUUUGCUUUUGCUUUUACUUCAAGUGAAAGAGAGAGGAAACCUUUUGUUUUUUUCUUUGGUUUUCAACUAUGUUACCUAUACAAAGAGUCAAGAUACCUGCCAUAAGUGAUGGUGUUAAAAAGAUUAAGCAGCGCACACAAUCUUACUGUCGUCUAGACCAUCCAGUGAUGACUCUAGUCUUUUGGUUACGUUAGCUUUAGUUGAAAGAAGGGCCAAUUUAACAAAGACUAGAUUUGAUGGCUUACUAUGUUUAAUGUAAUGCUAAUUCUCAGGGAAUCUAAUGUUAUAACUUAUAAGACGAUCUCCUAUGAUGAAUAACAGUAACACAUUACUGUGAUUGAGAAAACUCAGUUACAAUAAACUAUUCAUUUACUCAUUGCGGAGAUUGAAUAGCAAAUAGAGAAUAGAAUGAAGCAGAGGAAUCUCAUUGCCAAUAAAAUUGACCCUCUUUAAUGUUAUAUGGCACAGGUGUGGAGGAAGAACAAGUUACUUGCAGUUUUUAUUGUAAAAUAUACAGGUAUGACCAUGAUCAUUACAGUUGGGUUUUGAUAAUUUCAGAUGCUUUUUAAAAAAAAAAAAAAUUAUGACAUCUUUGAUUUACGGUAGUUUUGCAGAAAAAAAAAUAUAAAAAUUAAGAGGGAUGAGUUAAACUGACGAUUACAAUCAUUCCAGCAAUGCUGAUGAGUGAUACAUCACUUGAAAUUUACUUGUCAGUUGCUGAAAUGAUGAAAAAAAAACAAUAAACGAUAACAGUAAUAAUGUUCCGUUGCUGAAAUUCAAUUUUGACUUUCUACUCUUGGCUUUUAUGGAAAGUAAAAUGACUUGUAUAUUAUCCUCAUACAAUCCACUCUACAUAAUGAUAUCAUUUUAAUAAGGCAAUGGCUGAUGAUCUCCAUUUAAAAACUACAUCAUUUUUUUUGCUUCAUUUAACUUUUUGGUUGUUGAAAAUAACCUUAAUUAUCAAAUAAUUGGAGAAAGAGUAAAGAACAUUUAACAAAUUUAUGUGCAAAAAAAAAAAAGGAGAAGUUGAAGAGAAAGGGUGCUUGCAGAAGUGGGUGUCAAAGAUAAAUCGGUCCAUAAGAAUUAUUGUGGUUAUUUUUUUGGCAAUAUAAGAACUUAUGCGAUAGCAUUUUUUAUGGGUGCAUAUAACCUCCCUUUAAAAAUAUAUAUAAUAAUUACUGCUUAAUAUAGUAUUAAAUACAAAAAUAUCAAUAUUUGACUACUUAAAUUUAUAUCAUUAGGUCCUUAAAAUUUAAAAUGGAAGAUAUGAAAGGAAAUAUAUAUAAAUUUCAUUGUCCUGGUAAAGGGCCCUCUUAUAAUCUUAUAAUAUUUGAACUUUGAUAGAUUUUUUGAAACAAAUGUACUUUUAUUUGUGUACAAUCAAUAUUUACUCAUUUAUUAUAUUUUAAUUUAUUAACUAUUAAUCAUGUAAGUAUACUUAGUCAGAAAAAUUAUAUCAAGAGAAAAUUCUAAUUUCACGCAAAAACAAAUACCAAAACAAAUAUCUCAAUUUCUAUACUAUUCACUUUCCUGUAGAAUCAAUUAUUUAAAAUGCAAGUUUGUGGCUACAGAAAACUCGCCAAAGAAAAAAGAUAAUAACAAUUGAGCAUUGAUAGCAAAACUAAUGCAUCCAAUUCUUCUUGACUUGAUGAGAUGGCGCCAUAACGUAGACACAAGUACCUAAAUUGACCGGCACUGAGUGAUGUGAAUACUACCAGCCAGUUCAUCUCUUCCAGUCUUGCUUAAUCACAAUCACAAACACCACGAGAUCGACAUUUGCAUUAUAUAUAUCUUCUGCAAUCGAAACACCUUGCAUUACCAAAUAAGCCCGUAACAGACAAAGCAAUCUUUCAUGGAGAGAAACCUUAGUCUCAGUAUGAUCACUGUGUCAUUAACCUACUGCCUGCUUCUUUGCUUGGUUGCUGCAGCAGCAGCAGCGGCAAGCAACAAUAUUACCACAGACCAACAAGCUCUUCUUGCCCUGAAAGAUCAUAUAAUUUAUGAUCCUACCAGCCUUUUAGCUCACAAUUGGACCUCGAAUACCUCUGUUUGUACCUGGAUUGGCAUCACUUGUGAUGCCAAUAGCCAUAGAGUCAAAACCUUAGAUAUUUCUCAAUUCAAUCUACAAGGCACCAUCCCUCCUCAACUUGGAAAUCUCUCUUCACUCACAACACUUAAUCUUAGUCAUAACAGGCUUUCUGGAAGUGUUCCCUCCUCCAUCUACACCAUGCAUACGCUAAAAUUUCUUGACUUCACUGAUAACCAGCUCUCUGGUUCAGUGUCUUCCUUCGUCUUCAACAUGUCUUCAAUAUUAGUAAUUCGUUUGACCAAUAACAUAUUUUCUGGUGAGCUUCCGAAAAAUAUUUGCAACUAUCUUCCUUAUUUGAAGGCCCUUUUCUUAAACAAAAACAUGUUUCAUGGCAAAAUUCCUUCUGCUUUAUCAAAGUGCAAACAACUGCAACAAUUAAAUUUGCAGUUCAAUAAUUUAUCCGGUGCAAUACCAAAAGAAAUCGGCAACUUGACUAUGCUCAAAGGGAUAUAUCUCCUCUACAACAAACUCCACGGUAUGUUCACAAUACUAUAUAAAUAUUUUAAUUUAUCACUUAUUAUCUUUCUUGAAUAAUUUAGUUAAGAUCUUGUAAGAGAGAUUUUUUGCAUCUACGUUAAUUUACCAGGUGAGAUACCCCACGAAAUCGCUAAUCUUCCAAAUCUAGAGGCUUUAGCGCUUGGAAUCAACAACGUAGUUGGUGUGUUACCAGCUCCCAUCUUCAACAUGUCAACACUGAAGGUACUUAUCCUCAUAAAUAACUCUCUCUCCGGAAGCCUUCCAUCAAGAGUAGACCUUUCACUUCCAACUGUUGAGCAACUUAACUUGGCACUUAAUAGAUUUUCUGGAACCAUUCCUAGUUCCAUCACCAAUGCUUCUAAGCUCACCUUUCUAGAGUUGGGAGCAAACACAUUUUCGGGGUUUAUUCCAAACACAAUUGGUAAUUUAAGAAACCUUAAGUGGCUCGGCUUGGCUAAUAACUCCUUGACAUCUUCAACCUCAAAAUUGAGCUUUCUUUCCUCUUUGGCAAAUUGCAAGAAAUUAAGAUUCGUAAACGUAAUAGGCAAUCCACUGGACGGCUUCCUUCCAAGUUCAAUAGGUAAUCUUUCUGUGUCUUUGGAAACACUUGGCAUCGGCAAUUGCAGUAUUAGUGGCAACAUUCCUCCAGCAAUUAGCAAUUUAAGCAACUUGUUGACCUUAGUAUUAGACGGCAAUAAAUUGACUGGACCAAUCCCAACUACAUUCGGCCAACUGCAGAAACUCCAAGGCUUAGAUCUUGCAUUCAAUAAGUUGGUAGGUUCAUUCCCAGAUGAGCUUUGCCAUCUGGCAAGGCUGGAUCAAUUGGUCUUAUUUGGCAAUAAGCUUUCAGGAUCUAUACCUUCAUGCUUAAGUAACCUCACUUCUCUAAGAUCUCUCUAUUUAGGGUCCAAUAAGUUUACUUCUGUUUUUCCCUCAACCUUCUGGAGCCUAAAAGACAUCUUGUUCUUUGACUUUUCAUCAAAUUUCUUGGUUGGUCCUCUUUCUUUAGAUAUAGGAAAUUUGAAGGUGCUUCUAGGAAUAAGUUUAUCAAAAAAUAAUUUAUCCGGUGAUAUCCCAGCCACAAUUGGAGGACUGAAAGAUCUUCAAUUUAUGGACCUAGCAUAUAAUAGAUUGGAAGGCCCAAUUCCUAAAUCAUUUGGUGACUUGAUAAGUUUAGAAGUUCUGAAUUUAUCAAAUAAUAAAAUCUCUGGGUCUAUUCCAACAUCCAUGGAGAAACUCUUUUACCUCGGAGAGUUAAAUCUCUCUUUCAAUAAACUAGAAGGUGAGAUUCCUAGUGGAGGAACUUUUGCCAACUUCACAGCUGAGUCAUUUAUGGGAAAUGAGUUUUUGUGUGGUUUACCAAAUCUUCAAGUCCAACCAUGCAAAGUUAGCAAGCCGAGGACAGAACAUAAAUCAAGGAAAAAGAUACUUCUCAUUGUGAUUGUUUUGCCAUUGAGUAUUGCUCUAACAAUAGCAAUCACUCUAGCUCUCAAAUCUAAGCCGAUCGAAUGUGGAGAAAGAAGCACAGUGUUGUCAAAUGAUAGUAUCUUGUCAUCACAAGCAACACUAAGAAGAUUUUCAUACUUAGAACUUUUACAAGCAACAGAUAAUUUUGCUGAAAACAGCAUAAUUGGCAGAGGAGGUUUCGGUUCCGUUUAUGGAGCAAGACUUGAAGAUGGGAUGAAGAUUGCAAUAAAAGUGUUUCACCGGCAAUGUGCAAGCGCAUUGAAGAGUUUUGAGGCUGAAUGUGAAGUGUUAAAAAAAAUUCGCCAUCGAAACCUUAUCAAAGUUAUCAGCAGUUGCUCGAACGAUGACUUCAAAGCAUUAGUCCUAGAAUACAUGUCCAACGGGAGCUUAGGGGAUUGGCUGCAUUCGAGCAAUUACGUGCUGAAUAUUUUUCAAAGGUUGAACAUAAUGAUUGACGUUGCAUCAGCUUUAGAAUACCUCCACUUCGAUCAUUCAACUCCUAUUAUUCAUUGUGACUUAAAGCCUAGUAAUGUAUUGUUGGACGAAAAUAUGGUUGCUCAUUUGAGUGAUUUUGGCAUAGCAAAGCUUUUAAGUGGAGAAGAUGAGUCUACGAUGCGAACAAAAACCCUUGCCACUAUAGGUUAUAUGGCACCAGGUUUGCUUCAAACAACUUUUUUUUUUAAGUUCAUUUUAAAUUUUCUAAAUCAUUGAUUUUUACGAUCCUCAUAUCAAAUUGUUAUUGAUUAUUUAUCUAAUUGUGAAAUUAAUUUGAUUCAUAGAGUAUGGCAUAGGAGGAGAAGUAUCUACAAAAAGCGAUGUUUACAGCUACGGGAUUAUGUUGAUGGAAACUUUUACCAAGAAAAAACCCACAGAUGAAAUUUUUGUUGGAGAAUUGAGCUUAAAGCAUUGGGUUAAUGACUUGCUUCCUAAUUCAUUAGUGGAAGUUGUGGACAAAACUCUGCUAAGUGGAGAGGAAAAACAUUUUGCAUCAAAGGGGCAAUGUCUGUUGUCUAUCUUUAGUUUGGCUCUGGAGUGUACAAUGGAAUCACCGGAAAAGAGGAUUAAUGCAAAAGAUAUUGUUACCGGAUUACUCAAGAUAAGAGACACAUUGAGUAAAAGGAUAGGAAAUUUAAGUUAAUUUCGUUUGCUUUCAUUGAUAGUUAAUUCGAAUUCAUGUAAUAAGUGCAAGAAUCUUAUAUCUUUUCCUUUGAUAUAUUCUUUUUCUUGAGAAAACUGUUGUAGUCAUCUUGUUUCCAUGGGAAGAGUUGAUUUAGUUCUUCCAAAAAAUGCUACUGAUGACCUUUGUUUAAUACUUUCUCUUUUUUUGCACGUGUUUAGGUAGAACAGUGGUUUGGCUGCAGGCUAAUAAGUCAAGCUACGCCAAAAGCGUAUGAUUUAAUUUAUUAAACAUAACUUCAAGUUCAAGAAGUGUUUCUCAUUGCCACCAAUGCUUUGGACACCUGUUGGAAGGUUUGUUGUCCUCAGCUUUUGUUUAGAGCAAAAGUUCGAGUCCCAUAAAGGCUCAAACAUUCCUUUCCUUCAUCCCGAGGGCGCCUUCUGUCCUCUGUUUUCUGUUUCCACACACAAAUAGCAAAAAGAAAUUAGAAUGACAACUGGGACAUAUAUAAGAGUGAAAUAAUUAAAAAAAUUAUGCUUUUUUGUCUGUCGUGUUAAAAUCGUAAGUACCGAAGUACUGUGAAAGAGAUUAAUUUACAGAAACUGAAGCCAAGGGUUCAAAAAAAAACUAUUGAUGUAGCUAGGAUGCAAUGUCAUAUUCAUACAGAGAUGAAGUAUAUUAUUUACGGCUGGUAAAGACUAGGAAUUGAUGUAGCUAGAAUCCAAAGAUGAUAAGGUAUGUUGUGCACUAUUGUUUUAUUCUACGGUCAAUCUUGACCCUUGGUGCUUGGCUCUCAAUCUUGUCCAUUGAUCUUCUCUGAUCUUGGAAACUUCAAGACCUUUCACUCUCAUGCCUUAUUAUUGGUGUCUUCCAUGCUGUAGCUUUCAAAUACAAGCUUUCCCGCCAACUUGCCAAUUAUUUGUCCGUUGGUGCAUUUUAUCAAACAGUUUGGAUACUUAUACCAAACGCCUUCUGUUUUAACUCCCCCCCUCAAGCUCAAGCAUCUGGGAAGACAUUAAUAAGCUUGUUUCUCAAGUAUAUAUAUCUGAAAAUUAAAUUUUAUAAAUUAUAUUCGGACUCUACAUUUUCUAAUGAACAUUGGUUUGGCUUAUAAGCUUAUUAUACUCAGGUUUGGUAGGAGCCAUAUCACAAUGUUAACGCUAACCAGCAGUACUGCCAAAGCUGGCCAACUCAGCCUGCAAGUUCAUAGCAACCAUAGUUACAGUCCUAGUCCGGUACAAAAAUCGUAAAUAUCAUUUACAUUACAAUGGUGUGGGGGGGGGGGGGGGGGUUUGUUGGGUGGCUGGAGAGGGAAUCAACAAAGAUCUAGAACGAAGGGUAGGCUUGUAUCCGUAACCCAUGUCACAGUGUUAAUGCUAACCGUGGACCUUAUUAUAUUAGUUGCUGGACUAUUAUUACUUUUGAAUUGCCAUCUUUGAAUUUACGUUCAUUUCUGCCUCGACAAGAUGUUUGUAAAAAUAUGCUAAUUAUUAAUGUGCCGUGUACAAAUAAGCAUGUUACUGUGCAAGGAUUGUAGUCAUGAUACAGUGGUGCAAAAUGUACAUGCUACUUCUUCUUUUCCUCAGUUAGGAUCACCGUCGUCACCAUUUAAUUCUAAGUCCACCCAUGCGGCCUAUGCAAUUGAAAUCAUGUGACCAUGUAAUUUUAGGUUCUGAUCUUCCUUGUGGGGUUAAACCUCAAAACUGUGACCAUUUUGGGACUUUUAAUCAGUUCCAAUCAUUUUCUGGUUCCCAUUCGUCCACCCAAGCCUUGAUUCCCCCGAUAUAGCAUUGCAAUAUAUAUAGGAAUAUUAAGGUUGUGUACAGUUUUUUUCUUUUCUGUUUUUAAUUUGAUAUAAAUUAUCAAUCAUGAAUCUACAUAAAGUUUCAACUAGGCUACUACCACAAUAAACAUUUGGAUGAACUAUUAUUGAAACCUUAUUGAGAAGUAGGACAUGUCGCAUACCAAUGCACUGACAUAUCUUCAAAUAGUGGUAACUCCACACAACAUGGCACAAUAAAUUAAGAGUUAUAUAGAUAAAAUCUUUCACUCUUUGGUAAUCAUCAAUGUCGGCAUGACAAUGCGUCCCACAAAUAUGGCUCCUUAUCAAAAUUCAUAAAUCAAAACAAAAAUAGAGAAUCAUAUUUGUUCUAGAUUGUAGUGAUGGUUGUUGAUGCACUCACAAUUUACAAUUUUAUUUAAUAUCUUCAAAUUCGCAUUUUAAAAUGCCCAAAUGUUUGUGUAUACAUAAUUAGUAAUCGAUUCUCAAGCAUGGCCAUUUAAAAGCAUUGCUGAAAGACAAAAUUUUAAUUUACUAUUUUUUGUCUUUUAAUUUUCUUUAAGUUUUUAAUGAUUCCGCAUUUUAAAAUCCUGUGGAACGUGUAUGUAAAAUUCUUUUAUCUUUUAGAGGAAAAUGGGCAAGAGAAGAAGAUUUGGCAAAGGAAUUGCAACCGCAUUUGGAGCUAGUUUUAAUUUUGUCUUUUAAUUCUUUUACACUUGGCUUUUGUUAUUGAUGUCAACUUCGAUGUGUGUGAAGACUCGAGCUCACUCCCUUAUGAGCUAGUUUUAUUUUUCUACUUUCACAUUAAGAAAAAUACUCCUAUUUUUAAGGAAAAGUCAAGUACCUGUAGUUGUGAAGACUCGAGCUCACUCCCUUAUGAUAAAUCUUCAUAUUAAUUACGUAAAUAUCCUCUAAAAUUUUAAAUUAGCUAUUCAAAAUUUGAUGUUAUACGGGUAUUUCAUUUAUUUGAGUAGGGGUUGGGGGUCAAUUGGAUACAAAUUCAAAAUUAUCCUUACUUGAGAUGGUGAUAAAAAUUGGGGAUUUAAUUUGGAUGUCAUUAGCUACAAAUAUUAAACUCAUACAUUUAAUUCAAAAUUGGAAAGCUGAUAUAUGCGCAUCAUCCCACAACCUCUCCAAUGAAAAAUUAACACGUUUCUUGUGUGCAUUUGAUCAGAAUCCUGAAAAUUAAUCACAAAAUUGUCCUGGAAAAAAAAAUGCUUACAUAAAUGGUUUGAAAAAUCUAGAUUUCAAGUUGUCUAUAUUAGCUUGAUAUUUUUAUAAAUAGUCAUCCUCUCAAAAAAAUUCCAUCAAAAUAUAUUUUAAUUUUAUGUUAAUUCAUAAACAUGAAAAAAUCAUUUCAGAAUUAAUUAAAACAUAAUUUAUUGUUUCUCAAAAAAGGUAGAACUUAGUGAUAAGAAAAAAGUAUCUCAAAUAUAUGUAAAAAAAAAAAAAUCUUGGUUAGUUGGAAUGAUUGAAUUUGUUUUUUUUUUCUUUUUUAAGAAUUAAGACAAUCGGAUUGAUUGAGUAAUAAUAAUAUAUAUUUAUUUGGCAAAUGGCAGGUAGGCUUUCGUCUCAUGCAGAUUGAUUAGAGAGAAAAUAUAACAAUUUUAAGCUCGUCAGAUUCGAAGCUGCUUUCCUGUCGUGUGGGGAUCACUUCCGUGUCUUAUUUUUCUAGAAAAAUCAGGACCAUUGGAUUUAUGCGAAUCGUACUGAACAUUGGAAUUGAUGUAUAAGAAAAAAAUUCUGUAGUUUAAGAAGAACAAAAAGGCAUGUUGAAUAGAUUACAAUAGUUUAAGGAAAAAAAUUAUUCAAUUGGGAAUUUUUUUUUCUUUAAUUUUUGUUGUACUUGAUUGAGAUUUCUCCUUAGUCCUUAGAGUUUUAAGUUUGGAAACCGUAGGAUCAGUAAUUUCGUACUUCCUUUGCAAGCUGAGUAUAAGGAUGAAAUUCUUUUAAGAAAUUAAAAAAGAUAAAAAAAAAGCAUACCAAUAGGUAAUUAUAAAUAACCACAAAUAAAUAUAAACAAAAUGUUUAUGAAGUAAAUUAAACAUGCUCAUAUUAUUUUCUUUUAUUUUCUGCUUGGAAACCCAUAAAUACACUAAUCCAGUAUUACUAAUUUCAGACAGAAAAUUUUGAAUUUAACCAGUAUACACUAAUCCAGUAUUAUUUUUAUUAUUAUUUUAAUUUGUUUAUAAAUUACUAUUUUAAUUUGUUUAUAAAUUACUAUUUUAAUUUUCACUUUUUAUUGGGUUGUUUAACGGAUUAGUGAAGCUGGUGGUCGUUGAUGCACUCACAAGGUACAAUUUUAUUUUAGAAUUUCAAAUUCGUAAUUUAAAAUGCAGGCACAUUAUGUAUACAUAAUUAUUGAUUUUCAUAUGUGGGUGUUUUGAAAUAUUGCCAAAAGACCAAACUUUAAUAAACUAUUUUUGAUCUUUUUUUUUCCUUUGUACCUAAAGUUUGAGUGAUAUCCGCAUUUUAAAUUCAUGUGGACCAAAAGCUAAUGUAUGCACAAAAUUCUUUUAAUUUUUUCCGAGAAAAAUGGGUAAGAGAAGAAGAUUUUUCUCUUGAAAAAGAAAAAAUAAUACGUUGCAAGCAUAGGAAAGAGGCCAGUGUUUUGGAUUUGAAUUUAGUAUUGGGUUGAAUUUUAUGCUAAGCUCUUUUAUAAUACUUUAUAGAAUAAAAAUGUAAGGGAUAUUUGGCUAGGCAUGUACUUUAUAGAAUAAAAAUGUAAUAAUGUAAGUCAGUGCAAUGAUCUGCUGUCAUAGUAGUUAUAAAUAUUUAUGUGUAAUACAGUAACAUGAUGCUUAAUCAGUUAAAAAAAAAUUGUAUAUCUUUUUUUAUUUUUUUUAUUGUGAUCAAUAUAACUAGUCAAAUUUAUUUUUAAAUAUUUUUUUAAAAAUAUUUUUAUCGUGUGUUUGCUCCAUUACAGGGUUUCUUCAAUUUAAAAUAGAGAAUCAUUUGUGUUCUAGAUUAAUCGUGGGUCUAUAUCCAAAUCCAAAAAUUGACUAACUUGAUUUCUAUUAAGUUCUCAACCCUAACAAGAAAAAUAAAAGAGUAAAAAUGACUAUUUUGGUUUCUAUUAAUUUGAGUAACGCUUAAUAUUUAUCAUACAAUAGUCACUUAUAUUAUCAAAAUCUUGGGUCGAAAAUAUUAGGAUAGGUGAUAAUUGGAAUUAAGUUGUAGAUAAGAUAGCCUUUCAAAAAAAAGAAAAGAAAAAAAGUUGUAGAUAAGAUAGAAAUGGAUUUGGAGAGAGAUUGGAAUCCUGGCUAAUCCGGUGCACGUUGUUGCGUUAAAUUCUCGUUGACUUCACGUUGACCGAAGCAUUAUUGGAAGAAACAAGCAAGCUUAUUUUCUUCUCUCAUUUUUUACUUUUGUCUAAAUUUAUUGAUGUGAGCCCUCUGAGAUGGUAAAGUGUUAAAUCUGAGAAGAGUACCCACACACCCAUUUGUUGGAGGAUUAACAAUUAAAACACACUAUUUUAUUUCUUCAACAACACUCCUCACCAAUUACAACUCUUAUUUUUCACUCUCUACACCUUAGAGAUUUUGCUGCUUCACUUGAUGUUUAAACCAAAAGGGAGAGGGGGUAUUUAUAUAUGAAACAAACUAAUCACAACCAUUCAUUUAUUCAACUAAUAAACACAUCCUCACCAUCCAUUAAAACCUACCACUCACCUACUUCACCAACCACACCUAACACACCUAACACAAAUAAUUCAAACCUCACCAACCAUACCUACUCAUGGAACCUUCCAUGAGUUGGGCUUGAUUUAUUCAUCUUGGAUCAAGUUUAUGAUCCAACACCUCUCCUUAAACUUGAUCCUGUGACACCAAGCAAACUUCUGAAUCUUACAAAGUCUUCUUGUUUGAGUGGUUUAGUGAAGAUAUCAGCUGCUUGAUCUUGUGAUUUUACAUACUUGAUUUGCACUUCUUUUCUUGCAAUACACUCUCUUAUGAAAUGAUAGCGAGUGGCUAUGUGUUUACUUCGAUCAUGAAAGACUGGAUUCUUGGAUAGGGCAAUUGCUGAUUUGUUAUCAACACAAAUCUCAGUUGGCUCUUCUUGUGCCAAACUCAACUCCUUUAGCAAAUUUCUGAGCCAAAUUGCAUGACAAACACUUGAUGUGGCAGCUACAUAUUCAGCUUCACAGGUGGAUAGCGUGACAAUUGGUUGCUUCUUUGACAUCCAUGUGAAAGCAGUAUCUCCUAUGAAGAACACAAAUCCUGUGGUGUUAUUUCGAUCAUCUACAUCUCCACCCCAAUCGCUAUCGCUAUAUCCAACAAGCUUGUAGUCAUUAGAAAAUGAGUAUAGCAAGCCGAAAUUAGUUGUACCUUUGAUGUAGCGAAGGAUUCUUUUUGCAGCUUUAAAAUGGGUGGUCUUUGGAUUCUCCAUGUAUCGGCUCACAAGUCCAACAACAUAAAGGAUAUCUGGUCUUGUGCAUGUCAAAUAACGUAGGCUUCCAACCAAACUUUUAAAGAAUGUUGGAUCUAUAUCUUCGCCUUCAUCAUGUUUGGAUAACUUGACUCCGCAUUCCACUGGCGUGCUUAUAGGCUUACAAUCAUUCAUCUUGAACUUCUUGAGAAUCUCCUCUGCAUAGCUUUCUUGGGAGAUAAAUAUGCUUUCUUCCUUUUGCUUGACUUCAAUGCCGAGGUAAUAUGCCAUCAGUCCGAUGUCAGUCAUCUCGAACUCUUUGAUCAUCACUCUCUUGAACUCUUCAAACAAGCCUGGAUUACUUCCAGUGAAAAUGAGAUCAUCCACAUACAGGCACACAAUCAAAAUAUCUCCAUAUUUUUCUUUGACGUAGAGAGCAUGUUCAUAUGGGCAUUUGGUGAAGCCUUUCUCUUGAAAAUACUUGUCAAUUCUGCUAUUCCAUGCCCUUGGUGCUUGCUUUAACCCAUAAAGAGCUUUCUUCAAUCUCAAAACUUUGUCCUCGUGUCCUUUCACCACAUAGCCUAAUGGUUGUUCGAUGUAAACUUCUUCUUCAAGGAAUCCAUUCAAGAAAGCAGACUUCACAUCCAUUUGAAAAAUCUUCCAUUUGUUCUGAGCAGCCAAAGAAAUAAUAAGUCUAAUAGUUUUAAGUCGAGCUACAGGAGCAAAUACCUCGUCAUAGUCUAUGCCAGCCUUUUGACUAUAGCCUUUUGCAACUAGCCUCGCCUUGUGCCUUUCAAUUUCUCCCUUCGCAUUUCUUUUUGUUUUAUACACCCAUUUGACACCGAUCGCCUUGUGACCUUUUGGAAGAGUAGUAAGCUCCCAAGUAUCAUUCUUCACAAUGGCUUUGAUUUCUUCAUCCAUUGCAAUUCUCCACUUCUCAUCUAGUGCAGCUUCUUGGAAGUUGACUGGCUCACAAUCAGCAAAGAGGCAAAAGAGAGUGAGAUUAUCAUGUCUCUCAGUUACCUCAUAGAGAUCUUGAAGACUCCUUGCACGUUCUUCGGUUCUUUCAUUUAAGAAAGACGGCGGUGAAUCUCCGCAUGUGGUUGGUGCUGGUGAGAUAGGUGGAGUGGCAGGCUCUUGUUGUUCGUCUACUUGUUUUACCUGUGUAUGAUCAUCUUCUUCAAUGGGAAAGAAGUUGAAGUCAUCCACACCAGAGCCAAAAUCUCAUUCUCCUUCUUCAUCAAAAAUUACAUCUCGACUGAUCACAAUCUUUCCGUUGUUUGGAUUGUAAAGCUUGUAUCCUUUGGAGUUGUUGUCGUAGCCGAUGAAGAUGAACAACUCACUUUUGUCAUCCAGCUUGGCUCUACUUUCGUCUGGUACAUGUACAUGGGCAAUGCUUCCGAAAACUCUUAGAUGGGUGAUGCCAGGUUUUCUUCCACUCCAAGCUUCUUGUGGCGUCUUGCCCCACACGCUUCUUGUUGGAGAUCGAUUGGAUAAGUAGAUUGCACAUGCAACUGCUUCAGCCCAAAAUUCUUUAGGUAGCCUCUUACUCUUAAGCAUGCUUCUUGCCAUGUCGAGGAUGGUUCUGUUCUUCCUUUCUGCAACACCAUUUUGUUGGGGGGAUCUUGGAACUGUCAAAGGGCGUCGAAUUCCAUUUGCUUCACAAAACUCUAAAAAUUCUUUGGAAGUGAACUCUCCACCUCGAUCAGAUCUCAUGGCUUUAAUCUGGUAUCCACUUUCUUUUUCAACUGCAGCUUUAAACUUCUUGAAAGCUUCAAAGACUUCUGAUUUUUGCUUCAAAAAAUACACCCAAGUUUUUCUUGAAAAAUCAUCUAUAAAAAGAAUGAAGUAGUUACUUUUACCAAGGGAGUUUGGCUUGAAUGGACCGCACACAUCAGUAUGAAUGAGCUCGAGUGGCUUCUGAGCUCUUGAGUUUGACUCCUUUGGAAAGCUCUUUCUGAACUGCUUGCCAAGUAAACAUCCUUCACAAAGUUGAUCAGGGUGAUUGAUGUAUGGUAAGCCUUUCACCAUGUUCUUCUUAGAGAGUAGCUCCAGUCCUCUAAAGUUGAGAUGCUCAUAUCGAAGAUGCCAAGUCCAGGAUUGAUCUUUGUGACAGGCUUUGAGACAUUUUGCAACAUCAUUUUGAAUAUUUAAAGGAAACAUUCUAUUCUUUGACAUUCUCACUUUUGUAUUUAGAUUUCCUUUUUCAUCUCUUAGAAAAAGACUAUAAUCUUUUAAGUGAAUAUCAUAGCCCUUUUUCUAAAAGUUGACCUAAACUAAGAAUGUUGCUUUUCAUAUUGGACACAUAGUAAACAUUCGAAAUUAUUUGGUGGCUACCAUCUUUUGCACGAAAAAGAAUGUUACCUCUACCCUUCACUGGUACUUUUGAAUCAUCUCCAAAAGUGACACUGCCAUUCACAAAUUCACUUAGUUGCACGAACAUGCUUCUGUUUCCACUCAUAUGAUUGCUAGCACCUGUGUCAAGAUACCAUGUAUUUUCUUGACCUCCAUUUGUGUCAUUGCGUGCUAGUAAAAGUGUGUCAUCUUCACCAUUUUUCUCUUCAGCAUAGUUCACUCUCUCUUUAAUUCUGGUGCUUGGAGCUCUGCAUUCUGAAGCAUAAUGCCCAAACUUUUGACAAUUAUAGCACUGUACUUGGGAUUUGUCAUACCUCGAUCUUGAAUUGCCUCUGCCUUGUUCUCUGGUUGAGCUUUCUCCUUUGGCAUAAUUGGAGUUGUUGUUGUUGAAAUUCCAACCUCGUCCAUGACCACGACCUCUACCUCGUCCUCGACCUCUACCUCGGACAUAGUGCCUUCUCUCAUUGUCGGAGCUUUCUUCUCUUUUCUUUGGAUUGACUUCCAUCUUGAGAAGUUGUUCUUCGAUUCCUUGCUUCUUUUUUUGUUUUUCUUCAUAGGCUUGCAACCUUCCUUGAAGUUGCUCGAUCGUCAUAUCCUCCAGAUCUCUUGUUUCUUCAAUUGUCAUAACAAUAUGAUCAAACUUCGAGUCUACUGAUCGAAGUAUCUUUUCAAUGAUCCUUACCUCUUUUAACUCCUCGCCAUUUCUUUUUAAUUCAUUGGAAACGGUCACAACUCGAGUAAAGUAGUCAGAAAUUGACUCCGACACCUUCAUGUGUAAGGACUCAAAUUCUCCUCGUAAUGUUUGGAGACGAACCUUCUUAACUUGCUCUGCUCCUUUGUAAGAGGUCUUUAGUUUCUCCCAUGCUUCUUUUGAGGAGGUUGUACCAGCAAUCUUUUCAAAAGCAUCUUCAUCUAAUGAUUGAAAGAUGAGAUACUUUGCUUUAUUCUCUUUCUUCUUCAAGUCUUUUAAAUUCUCCUUCUGCGCCGCAGUUAAAGUGGCUUCAUUUUCUGGCACAAUAAAGCCUUUCUCCACGACAUCCCAUACGUCAUGUGCACUCAAUAGAGCCUUCAUUUUAAUACUCCAAUUGUCAAACUUACUUCCUUUUAAUUGUGGAACUUGAAAUGACAUCAUCAUACCACCGUUUGCCAUAACUCACAAAUUGAGUGAGAAUUUGGAGAUUCUGAAUGCACAGAUGGAUCCGGCACGUCGAAAAACCUUGGGAAGGACUCGAGUCAACUUUCGGUCAACGGUCAACGUCGGUCAACGGUCAACACCGGCUUGGUAGUCUCGGUUCGGUCCGGAUUGGUUCAGCUCGAGUUGGCUCGGUUCGACUUGAUUCGGUUCAGCUCGGCUCGGCUUGGUUCAGUUCGGCUCAGCUUGGUUCAACUCGGUGAGUCGACUCAGCUUCAGGACAUAAAACUUCCGGCGGCAGGUGUGGGCGCGUACGGUCUCGGAUCGGGAUGAUUUUUGCGGCGUCACGUUCCUCUCGUCGAGAUCUUCGAUUUGAUAUGCUAUAUGACUAUAUAUAGCAUCAAACACUAGCUCUGAUACCACUUUGUUGGAGGAUUAACAAUUAAAACACACAAAAAACACACUAUUUUAUUUCUUCAACAACACUCCUCACCAAUUACAACUCUUAUUUUUCACUCUCUACACCUUAGAGAUUUUGCUGCUUCACUUGAUGUUUAAACCAAAGGGGAGAGGGGGUAUUUAUACAUGAAACAAACUAAUCACAACCAUUAAUUUAUUCAACUAAUAAACACAUCCUCACCAUCCAUUAAAACCUACUACUCACCUACUUCACCAACCACACCUAACACACCUAACACAAAUAAUUCAAACCUCACCAACCAUACCUACUCAUGGAACCUUCCAUGAGUUGGGCUUGAUUUAUUCAUCUUGGAUCAAGUUUAUGAUCCAACACCAUUAUCCUAUUACUCUUAUUUUAUCACAUGCAGAGACGUCAACGUUUGAUUCGCACGGAAAAAAAUUUGCGAGGAUUGUGAGGGUUGAUUCAAUAUAAUUUAGAUGCAAAGUGUUUACAAGUGCGAUGCUUCGUAAGUGCACCCGAAUCAUUAUAAACUCACCUUAUUUUCAUAGUGAUUAUUUCAUCUGCAUGUGAAUAUAAUCAUAUGUGGAGAUUUUUUUUUUCCCUAAACGAUGAUCUUCUCUAGUAUUGAGGUGUUAUAUCUUUUAAAUUAUAAUUAUUAUUAGUAAAAAACUGCAACUAUGAAAAAUAAAUUUAAUAUUAUGUCCUGAAUAUAAUUGUUAAAUAAUAAUUUUGACAAAAUUAAUGAAUAUAUACAGAUUUUUUUAUCAUAUAAAUGUAAAAUUAUAUCAACUUAGCUUCUAAGCUAUACAACGGUUACUAUUUACUAAAUACUUUAGUGUCGUAGUUUUUAAGAUAUAUUUAUCCACCCUCAAUCCCAAACAUAACCUGUAAGGAUAAAAAAUUUCAUCCUAAAAAUUAUACGUCUUGUGACUUAUUUAAUUUAUAUUUUUGUUAUUUAUAUUUAUUAAUUAUAGUCAUCUUUUAAUAAAUUACAAUUGAAGGAAGGUGGUUGAUGUUGUCGAGACACACACACAAAGAUAUAUUGGAAGUGCUUAUGUCCACUCGAAGUUGUGGGGAGUUAAUGCAUGUAUUGAUUUAUUGGGAGUGUUAAUGCAUGUAUUGAUUGAUUGAGUGAUUGAAUACUGUUUGAUUGCUUCAUAUCAAUUCUAGAAAGUUUAUUUCUUUGUGAAAUUUCAACGAAACGUGUUUUUUAGAAUAAUAAGGGUGUUUUAAGUAAUUUUAAAAAAUGAAUGGACUAAUUAGAAUUAAUUAUUAGGUAAUUAACUCGAAUUGUAGAGGGUAAGCAAACAUUUAUCCUAAUUAUAUUAUGAUAAAUCCUUUUCCAAUUAGAAUUAGGAAACCAUAGAUAUACUGAAUUUUUUUUUAUUUCCCUUCGCGAAAACGGAUCAGAGAAUUAGAAAACAAUCCUAGUGAUACUAUUGUUAGGUUUAAAACACUGCAUAGAUGGUAAAAACAUUGGAAUUGAUGUAGAUUAAUUUGUUAAUUGCUAUCGUACUGAACAUUGUUUUAUGCAAAUUAAUUUGAGAAUUAGAAAAAAGUUUGUUGCAUGCAAACUUUUUGUUUUAUGCAAAUCGUACUGAACAUUGGGACUGAUGUUUAAGAAAAAAAUUCUGUAGUUAAAGAAAAACAAAAAGGCAUGUUGAAUAGAUUACGAUAGUUUAUUCAAUUGGGAAUUUUUUUUCUUUAAUUUUUGUUGUACUUGAUUGAGAUUUCUCUUUAGUCCUUUCGUACUUCCUUUGUAAGCUGAGUAUAAGGAUGAAAUUCUUUUAAGAAAUUAAAAAAGAAAAAAAAGCAUGCCACUACGCAAUUAUAAAUAACCACAAAUAAAUAUAAACAAAAUGUUUAUGAAGUAAAUUAAACAUGCACAUAUUAUUUUCUUUUAUUUGCUGCUUGGAAACCCAUAAAUGCACUAAUCCAAUAUUACAAUUAAUUUCAAACAGAAAAAAUUGAACUCUAGGCUGCAGUUUGACUCAAAAUGAUGACCACUGGCUUCGCACCAUUCAACCGGUAUACAUUUCUACAAACCGAACAACGCUAUUGAUUUUUAUUUUUUUUUUUAAUUUGUCUAUAAAUUACUAUUUUAAUUUUCACUUUUUAUUGGGUUGUUUAACGGAUUAGUGAAGCUGGUGGUCGUUGAUGCACUCAUAAGGUACAAUUUUAUUUUAGAAUUUCAAAUUCGUAUUUUAAAAUGCAGGCACAUUAUGUAUACAUAAUUAUUGAUUUUCAUAUGUGGGUGUUUUGAAAUAUUGCCAAAAGACCAAACUUUAAUAAACUAUUUUUGAUUUUUUUUUUCCUUUUUACCUAAAGUUGGAGUGAUAUCCGCAUUUUAAAUUCAUGUGGAACAAAGCUAAUGUAAGCACAAAAUUCUUUUAUUUUUUCCGAGAAAAAUGGGUAAGAGAAGAAGAUUUUUCUCUUGAAAAAUGAAAAAAAAUACAAUGCAAGCAUAGGAAAGAGGUCAGUGUUUUGGAUUUGAAUUUAGUAUUGAGCUGAAUUUUAUGCUAAGCUCUUUUAUAGUACUGCGAUUAAUAAGCUAGCUCAGGAUUUGCUUUUGCUUUUACUUCAAGUAAAAGAAAGAGGAAGCCUUUUGUUUUUUUGUUUGAUUUUUGACUAUAUAUGUUACCUAUAUAGAGAGUUGAGGUAGCAGCCUUAAGUGAUGGUGAUAAAAAGAUUAAGCAGUGCACACAAUCUUACUGUCAUCCAGACCAUCCAGUGAUGGCUCUAGUUUUUUUGUUACGUUAGCUUUAGUGGAAAGAAGGGCCAAUUUAACAAAGACUAGAUUUGGUGGCUUACUAUGUUUAAUGUAAUGCUUAUUCUCAGCGCACACAAUCUUACUAUGUUUAAUGUAAUGGUUAUGUUGAAUGAUCUUCUAUGAUUGUGAGUAGUAUAGUAUAAUUGAAAAGGGCCUGGGCUCCUAUGAUGAAUAACAGUAACACAUUACUGUGAUUGAGAAAACUCAGUUCCAAUAAACUCUUCAUUUACUCAUUGCGGAGAUCGAAUGGCAAACAGAGAAUAGAAUGAAGCAGAAGAAUCUCAUUGUUAGGUUUUGAUGAUUUCAGAUGCUUUUUUUUUAAAAAAAAAUUGUGACAUCUUUGAUUUACGGCAGUUUUGCAGAAAAAAAAAACAUAUAAAAAUUAAGAGGGAUGAGUUAACUGACGAUUACAAUCAUUACAGCAAUGCUGAUGAGUGAUAUAUCACUUGAAAUUUACUUGUCAGUUGCUGAAAUGAUGAAAAAAAACCAACAAACGAUAACAGUAAUAAUGUUCCCUUGCUGAAAUUCAAUUUUGACUUUCGACUCUUGGCUUUUAUGGAGAGUAAAAUGACUUGUAUAUUAUACUCAUACAAUCCACUCUACAUAAUGAUAUCGUUUUAAUAAGGCAAUGGCUGAUGAUCUCCAUUUAAAAACUACAUCAAUUUUUUUGCUUCAUUUAACUUUUUGGUUGUUGAAAAUAACCUUAAUUAUCAAAUAAUUGGAGAAAGAGUUAAGAACAUUUAACAAAUUUAUGUGCAAAAAAAAAAAAAAAAGGAAGAAGUUGAAGAGAAAGGGUGCUUGCAGAAGUGGGUGUCAAAGAUAAAUCGGUCCAUAAGAAUUAUUGUGGUUAUUUUUUGGCAAUAUAAAAAUUUUUUAGCAAGUAAAAAUAAUUUUUUUUCCGAUUUACUAAAAAAUUAACUAAAAACUUCUGCGAUGUCAUUUUUUAUGGGUGCAUAUACCCUCCCUUUAAAAAAUUUAUAAUAAUUACUGCUUAAUAUAGUAUUAAAUACGAAAAAUAUCAAUAUUUGACUACUCAAAUUUAUAUCAUUAGGUCCUUAAAAUUUAAAAUGGAAGAUAUGAAAGGAAAUAUAUAUAAAUUUCAUUGUCCUGGGAAAGGACCCUCUUAUUAUCUUAUAAUAUUUGAAAUUUGAUAGAUUUUUUGAAACAAAUGUACUUUUAUUUGUGUACAAUCAAUAUUUACUCAUUUAUUAUAUUUUAAUUUAUUAACUAUCAAUCAUGUAAGUAUACUUAGUCAAAAAAAUUAUAUCAAGAGAGAAUUCUAAUUUCACGCAAAAACAAAUACCAAAACAAAUAUCUCAAUUUCUAUACUAUUCACUUUCCUGUAGAAUCAAUUAUUUAAAAUGCAAGUUUGUGGCUACAGAAAACUCGCCAAAGAAAGAAGAUAAUAACAAUUGAGCAUUGAUGGCAAAACUAAUGCAUCCAAUUCUUCUUGACUUGAUGAGAUGGCGCCAUAACGUAGAAACAAGUACCUAAAUUGACCGGCACUGAGUGGUGUGAAUACUACCAGCCAGUUCAUCUCUUCCAGUCUUGCUUAAUCACAAUCACAAACACCACGAGAUCGACAUUUGCAUUAUAUAUAUCUUCUGCAAUCGAAACACCUUGCAUUACCAAAUAAGCCCGUAACAGACAAAGCAAUCUUUCAUGGAGAGAAACCUUAGUCUCAGUAUGAUCACUGUGUCAUUAACGUACUGCCUGCUUCUUUGCUUGGUUGCUGCAGCAGCAGCAGCGGCAAGCAACAAUAUUACCACAGACCAACAAGCUCUUCUUGCCCUGAAAGAUCAUAUAAUUUAUGAUCCGACCAGCCUUUUAGCUCACAAUUGGACCUCGAAUACCUCUGUUUGUACCUGGAUUGGCAUCACUUGUGAUGCCAAUAGCCAUAGAGUCACAACCUUAGAUAUUUCUCAAUUCAAUCUACAAGGCACCAUCCCUCCUCAACUUGGGAACCUCUCUUCACUCACAACACUUAAUCUUAGUCAUAACAAGCUUUCUGGAAACGUUCCCUCCUCCAUCUACACCAUGCAUACGCUAGAAUUUCUUGACUUCACUGAUAACCAGCUCUCUGGUUCAGUGACUUCCUUCGUCUUGAACAUGUCUUCAAUAUUAGACAUUCGUUUGACCAAUAACAGACUUUCUGGUGAGCUUCCGAAAAAUAUUUAGAGCUAUCUUCCUCAUUUGAAAGCCCUUUUUUUGGACAAAAACAUGUUUCAUAGCAAACUUCCUUCUGCUUUAUCAAAGUGCAAACAACUGCAACAAUUAAAUUUGAAGUUCAAUAAUUUAUCCGGUGCAAUACCAAAAGAAAUCGGCAACUUGACUAUGCUCAAAGGGAUAGACCUCGGCUACAACAAACUCCACGGUAUGUUCAUAAUACUAUACAAAUAUUAUCUUUCUUGAAUACUUUAGAUAAGAUCUUGUAUGUGAGAUUUUUUUGCAUCUAUAUUAAUUUUCCAGGUGAGAUACCGCACGAAAUCGCUAAUCUUCCAAAUCUAGAGGCUUUAGCGCUUGGAAUGAACAACCUAGUUGGUGUGUUACCAGCUCCAAUCUUCAACAUGUCAACACUGAAUGUACUUAUCCUCAUAAAUAACUCUCUCUCCGGUAGUCUUCCAUCAAGAAUGGACCUUUCACUUCCAACUAUUGAGCAUCUUAACUUUGCACUUAAUAGAUUUUCUGGAACAAUUCCUAGUUCCAUAACCAAUGCUUCUAAGCUCACAUUUCUAGAGUUGGGAGGAAACACAUUUUCGGGCUUUAUUCCAAACACAAUUGGUAAUUUAAGAAACCUUGAGUUGUUCGGCUUGGUUUUUAACUACUUGACAUCUUCGAGCUCAAAAUUGAGCUUUCUUUCCUCUUUGGCAAAUUGC